UGACAAUUUGAAAUUAAAAUGUAAGAUCACAUUCCUAAUCACUAACUAGGCCCUUUCUUCAUAUCUUCCACACAUUUCCAAUUUCGUUUGAACUCUUUUAUCAGCUUUUAAAUGAUUUAUCAAAUUAUGAUUUUUAAUAAUCAAACAAGAACAGAACCUUUGCUUAUUUAUUUUAAUGAACGCAACUUGCUUGUACACAGAUUCUAGCUUUUUAUAGCCCAAGCAAGAAUUUAACAUCGUGAGCGGACCAAGCCAACAUCUUUUGGCUUGACUAGAGGGUGAGAUGCAAAAGAAGAUAAGGCAAGGACUAAAAGCAUCUGCAACUGCUUCUGUUCAAUCAAUUACAAAUUUAAUUAAAGAUUUUAUGUUAAUCUGUUCUUGCUUGGUAAAAAUUUUUUGGUGGGGCCAAGACUUAUGGAUGAAUAUGUAUUUUUUUUUAAAAUAAUUGGGUUUAAGCAUAAUUUCCGAGAGUUGGCCCGGGCGGCUCACCCUUAGCCCCGCAUUAAAUCCACCCAUAUUGUCAGACAUUUUGGAUGUGGCAGGAGAAGAACUAAACAAGGAGAAAACUCAGGAGGGCAUGGGGAAUAGAUAUUGCUGAGAGAGUUGAAAACUUAAUUAGUGGAGGUUAGGGAAAUGAAGAAAAUAAGAAUAGAAGAAAAUUAUUAGUAAUGAGGGCGAGGAUAUGGACAUGGAUGACCCAUUUAGCAACAAUGGUUCCGGAAGGCCUACCAUUGCUGGGGGAGAGUUCACUCUCAUUUUUUUUUUUUCCUUUUUGGUUGGGUCAAAAGCUAACUUUCAUUGAGAUUGCGUGAACAAAAAUGCUUGGAGAGAAAGAGUUUGCCUAUUUUGACUAUUCACUUUUCUAAUUUUACAUAACAAUUUCUUAUUUAACGAUUCACAAAUUUGAUUGCUAUUUCCUUUAAAUUGUUUCCUUUUUAAUUGAUUACGAAGAUUUGAUAUUAGAUUCUAUGAAUAUCAAUAAUCAACACUUUGAUGAAGGCAGAGAUCGAUGUAUAUGCAUGUACUUUCAAAUAGAUGCUUACAUUAAACCACUGAUCAAAGGCAUGAUUGGAGCAAAUAUGAAAAUUUUCUAGAGGACCCGAGUGCAUAUGACCUUAAUAAAUCUGAACCUUUGUUAUUAUUGAGUCUCAUGUGAAAACCACAUAAUAUAAGAGGGAAGAUUCAUUAGGGGCAUAUGGAUUUGAGAAUGCCUAAUGAAAUAUAGGCAUCAACAUGUUAGCUUUAGUUAAUUUUACAUGUGGGCGACAUGUUUAAUUUGUGACCAACCAAUAAGAGACAAUUAAUGAAAAUCUCCUCGAUUAGGAAAGUCCAUGCAUCAAGAGGAUGAGGUCCAUGGGAAAGAGAAGAUGUGCAUUACACUGCUCUAAAACAACAACUUGUAAUAUUGGAUUAAUCAAUAGACACCCCUCUAAGAAAACUCAAUUCAUUAAAUAUUGUGUACAUUCGGAAAUCAGGUGCUUUCUAUCUAGCCAUUUCACUUGUUUAUCUACAUCUUUUAGUGGAGCAGGAAGGCAUCUUCUCUUCAUUAAACAUUUUAGUGUUAGUAAUCGUUCAUAAUGCAUGUGCUCUCCACCAAAGAUUAGGAGCCUUGACUAUAGAGCACGCAUGUAGAGAUGAAGACUAGCCAUUUUUUUCUUGUCCAUGAGUGGACACAUACCAAUGAUGUUGCCUUGACGAGAAAGCGCGGUCCAUUGGAAAGAAAAGAUGCACGCCUAAGUCAAUAACUUUUACCAUUCAAUUAGUCAAACAGACUGACUUGAUCAUUAAACAUUUUGGAUUCGAAAUCGUUCCGAAAUCAUAUGCUCUCCUCCCAAAAAGCACGUGCUCUGCCUUUUCAUUUGCUUAUCUACUUCUUCUUGUGCAGCAGGUUGGCAUCCUCUCUUCAUUUUUGUCUAUAAGAUUUCUAUGGGGAAAGGGCAAAGUCUGAGCAAAAUAAAAAGAAAAAGAAAAAGAGCGCAAAAAAAAAGGAGCAAUAAGGGAGAAAAAGAGAAGGAUUGCUGAGAAAGAGAUCACUGAUGGAGCAUCUGCUUCUUCGUCCUUACCUUCCAUACCCACGGGAGGAGAUAAUGAUCAAUAUGAUGUGUUCUUGAGCUUUAGAGGCUCCGACACUCGCAACGAAUUCACUGAUCACCUCUACUGCAGUCUGAUCAGUGUGGGGACUCUACCGAUUUCUGUGUUCAGGGACGAUAAUAGCAAGGAUUUUAAUUCAGAGAUUCUCAAUGCUAUCACGCGAUCUAAGAUUUCAAUCCCCAUCAUCUCUGAAAAUUAUGCUUCGAGCAAAUGGUGCCUCCGCGAGCUAGUACGCAUCAUGGAUUGCCAGAAGAGCACGUCGCACACAGUGUUGCCCAUUUUUUACAAAGUGCUCCCAUCGGAUGUGCGGUAUCUAAAUGGAAAUUUUGGGGAGGCCUUCCGUUUGCGUAAGAAGCGUUUUGAUAAGGAGGACAUUCAGGAAGGUCAACGAGCCCUUACAGAAGUGAGUUACUUGAAGGGAUGGGAAUCUGAGAAAUUUGCCAAUGGGUACUUACCUUCUACCUACACUUUUUUUUUCUAAGUUUUGUUAUUUAGCAAAACCAAUGUCAUAUAGAUUAAUUGCUUCCACUACAAGCUUACUAAACAUCCCAAAAUGUCCCAAUGAAUAACCAUAGUGGCCCACAUACUACAAACACUUGUACUCCCUAAGAUUUCCCCAGAAAAGUACACUAAUAACAUCUAAAACCUUAGGAUCCCUUACUCAAUCUUCCAAAGCUUGGUAACCGCUGGAUAAAUUGACCUCCUAUUGCUUCACACAGAUCAUGUCUAGGUUUAACACCCAUUGUUGCCAGUAACUUUCAUUUGUAGGCGAUCUAUAAGUUAAUUACAAGUCCUCCAUUUAGGCUUGGUCUUAGCGGGAUAACAUCUUGUCCUCCUAAACUUUUUGCAACAAAAAUUAUUGACCUCUUAUCCUUCAACUAUCGGUGACCAUUAGCCUCAUAACAAACUCUUUACUUCUAAAGAAUCUUAAUUUGCUAGGUGCGCCACCAUAUCUUAAUCAAUAAGAUCUAUCUAUUUGAAGAAAAAGAAGGGGAAAAAUGAAAUGACUGCUACACCAUCAUCCUAUAUUGUCAUUUGUAAAACCUAGACAUUUUGCAUGUUAACUGGUCACAUCCAUCCUUCACAUAUAUGUGGGUGUCUUUUGAUGAGAUUACGCAAAAUUAUGAAGUUAUGAUAGAGUUUUGUUGUUUGACAGGCGUGAAGGAGAAUUAGUGGAAGAAGUUGUCAAAACUGUUCUGAGCAAGUUGAGACGUGAUUUUGAGCUAGAUAUUUUGGACCACUUAGUUGGAGUUGACGAUCAUGUCAACAAAAUUAGGAAUUGGGUAGACAUUCCUGCCAAGCAUGCUCGAAUGAUAGGAAUAUAUGGCAUGGGUGGGAUCGGUAAAACGACUCUCGCCAAGGUCAUCUAUAACCAGUUGUCGAAUAAAUUCGAGCAUCGUAGCUUCCUUCCAGAUAUACGAGAAACAUAUCACAACAAUGGCAUUCUUGAACUACAAAAUCUACUUAUUAGGGAAAUACUACCAAAUGCACGUGGAGUAUGUAAAGUUGAUGAUGGAAUUAGUUUGAUCAAAUCUAGAUUUAAAGGAAUAAAGGUUCUCAUUCUUCUGGAUGAUGUUGAUGACCGAAAUCAUCUACAUGCUUUGGCUAGAGAACGUGAUUGGUUUUCGACAGAAAGCAUCAUCAUUGUUACAACUAGAAAUGAAGCUAUUCUUCAUCAACCUAAAUUCGAGGUAGAUUACAAGUAUGAAUUGACACAAUUAGAUGAGGUGCAUUCUUUGUGUUUAUUUAAAAGACAUGCAUUUUCCAAGGGCGAUUGUCUGAAGGAUUUUGAGGGUAUCUCUCGUGAUAUCUUAUCCACCAUGGGUGCGCUCCCCUUGGCUAUCGAGGUCAUAGGUUCAUACUUGUAUGGAAAAACAGAUGUAAAAGUAUGGCAAGAUGUGCUGAAGAAAUUAAGAAAUGAACCGAAUGUAGAUGUCCAAAGGACAUUGAAGAUAAGUUAUGAUGCAUUGGAACCUACACAAAAGGAGAUUUUUCUGGAUAUUGCUUGCUUUUUAAUCGGCGCAAGUCACAAAUAUGCUGUUUACGUGUGGGAGGACUGUGAGUUUUUUCCAUUUCUUGGAAUUGAAGAGUUGAAGCUGAGGUGCUUAAUAAAAAUUGGAGCUUAUGGUGAGUUUAUGAUGCAUGACCAAUUGAGAGAUCUUGGAAGGAGCAUAUUUUGUCAAGGACAACCACCUGAGAGAUGUCUAAAGCCAUGGUUUAAUAUGCGAAGGGAGGUAACAUCUUUCUCUCUCUCUCUCUCUCUCUCUCUCUCUCUCUCUCUCUCUCUCUCAUUUAUGUCCCUCUUAGAUAAAUUGUGAUAAUAAUUGGAUUAUAAGUGCCCCAAAAAUGAAAAAAGUUAUAUUAUUUAUAUUUUUUAGUACAAUGCCCUUUUGUGCCGAAAACCCUCGACAAAGUCGGCAAUUUAGAGGAAAUGUCAUUUUAUUAUAUCGAUACCUUUUUCUUUACUAAAUAACAUUUUCAGCAUGUUGUCAAUUUUGAAAGCAAGUUUAAUUUUUACUUAGAUUAUCAAUGUUCAUGUCGUUUCAUUAUUUUAUAUAUUCCACUUAGAGAAGUGUAGUGGGUUCAUGACUGAUCAGUGGCGGGGAAUUAACCUUUGCAAUUAACCAAGAGAUGUUGGGAAAUGAAAAAGCUUUAUUUUCUUGAUUUAAUUUGAAUUAGUUCGCUCAUACAAUUAUAAAUAGCACAUUCUUUUGUUGAUUCAAUAAUUAUUCUUAAGAGAAAUAAUAUUGACCGUUAGUUUUUCACUAGUUAAUAUAUAAAAUAUGGAUAAUGACAAAUGAGUCAAACCAUAAAAUUAAUCCCCACCAAAAAAAGGGAAAAAAGAAUUCUAUCUUUGGUUUGAUAGUGUUCGUGGAAGUUCAUAUUUCACAAAACAAAUUUGUCUUUUGGCAGUUCAGUUUAUUCAUAAUAUUUCCAAGAAACUAACAGAAAAAAAUGCACUCUCAAGUUAUGUUGAUCAGUUAAUAAUUUUUUUUAAUGCUUGCUUAUAUCUCCUGCCCUAUUGUAUCUUUGCACUCAGCCUAUAAAUAGCAUUCCAAAAAAACCAAAAAAAGAAAAAAAAAAGAAAAAAAAAACGAGAUGAUGCUUUCAAUUUGGAGCAGAUGCUGUUGUCACAGAAGUUCAUGUAAAAGAAGAAAGGUGUCGGGUGUUGUGAAAUAUGGAUCAACUAGUCGUGAGCCCAUACCAUGCAUAUGCACAAAACUGACUUGAAUAAAUUUAUCAUGAAGAUAUAUCUAUCGUAUCUUUAUCUCUAUUGGAAAAGCACAUAUAGAUGGACAAAUCAUGUUCUUUGGAAAGACAGUUAUAAUUUAUAAGUUUACAGUUCUUAAUCUUUCAUUAUAGUAAUUCAACCAGGAAAAAAAAAAAAAACAUCUCUCAUUAUAGUAAAAAUUCAGGCGAGAAACUUAAUUCGAAAGACAUUCCUUUUUUUAUUUCCCAAUAACAAUGGACAUACUUCUUUUGGAUGGAGUGCAUGAAAAUAGUUAAAUGCACUAAAAAUCGAAUUAUAGGGAAUUUAAAAAGAUAUUAAAUGAAAUUGCAUGAAACGGAAGUGCGUUCAAAGGAAAAUUACGAGGAAAGUAAAAGAUGAACUUUGUUGUGCCGUGCCUGUCUGAUCUUACCUCCGGAUACCCCUUUUAUACCAAUGCCUCGUGUAGACCAUUUUGUUUCUAGGCCAUUCACAUGUAACUUCCACAUGCAUCAAUUGUCUCCUGCGUUUCUUGCCACAUGCAUCCUACGACACCUAGUCCUAUACUAUUCUUUUCAAGGGAGAGAUUUUUCUAUUAUUCUCUCAACGUAAAUUAUCUCAAAAUCAAGUUCAUUAUAAAUUUUAUUUAUUUAAAUGAAUCCAUGGGCUAUUUUCAUCACUUAGCUCCUAAAAGGGGAAACCACCAUCAUUAAUCGCAAUUGCCCACUGUCUAAACAUAGUUAAUUAUAUAUAUAAACAUGUGUUUUGCUUCUCUUUUAAGAGGGAAUUGCUCAUCAUUUGAAACAUCAAUUGGCGUUACCUGCUCAAUCCAAUAUAAAUGGUGUGCAUAGCGUGGGUCAUGUCUAGUCUAUAUCUAAUAUAACAUGAUACUAUAAUUAUAGCAAUGAGAUUGGUGUCACUUUAGGUCCCUUCCAAUUUUACUAUUAUUUAAGGAUUCUCCUACUAAUAAAAAGUACGGCUGAGGAGUAAAGUCUCACUUUGGUAGAGUACUCCUUCUCUAACCAACACAUCCCCCACCUUUAACGGUUAUAUAAUAUUCUCUUCAUCAACAUGUUGUACCAUCCCCAAUUUUUAUCACCGUUCUCUUCUUAUUUUUAAGAGUUUUAAGUUACAAAGUUCACAUAAAAAUAAGCAUAACGUUACCAUUACAUGCACAUAGCAUGUGUAUAGAGUAUUGUGGACAUUAAGCAAAGUCCAUUUACAAAAAUAAUACCAUUUCUAGGUCGAAUUUUGCUUUUUACGUGUUACAAAUGCAAUUUCUUGAACAGGUCGAGUGAGGGGCACUACUAGCUUGAAAUUAAUCUGCUCUAGAAGUGCAUGUUAACAGAUGAGUACUAAUUUCUAAUUUCUAAUUCACCUCUUGAGAAGCAUGCCCAUGCUAAAAACGAACGUCAAUAAUUUACAUCAACAUACCUCUAGAAAACCGAUCUGACAAAAGUGGGUACUAACAGCUACCUAAGUUCCAUAAUGGUGAAAUACUCCAUUAACUCUCAUUGCCAGGUGGGAGACCAGCUUAAUUAAGUCCGACUGGACGGCUCAAACAGGAAAUUAUUUGCACUUAAUAGUGCAAGGAAUCAAACCCAUAUCAUAAUACACAAAAGCGCAUUCCUUAACCACUAAAUGAGCAGUGUGGGGUUGCCUCUCAAAACAUUUCCAAGAUACCGAACUGGUAGUCAUUGAGAGGCCAACGUGGCAGAGCCAGGAUCAGGCUCGGGAGUUGCUACUAAGUUUGGUACAAGGCUCCUGGUUCGUUGCCAAUACCGGGUUUAAGGUCUCCGGUUGGCUCCGAUAGACCCCACAUGGGCUUGGCGGGAGCCUUUUAUAGACCUUGGCGGGAGCCUUUUAUAGACCUGCUCAGGUCUAACUGUACCUUAUAUUGCUUUUGGUAAUUCCUAAAGAACCUGACCAUAAAAUAAAUUGCAAAGAAAAAAUAACUCAUUAGACAUGUCUCCUUAGUGCCUAACUGAGCGUGGCCAAGUGCCCGUUGUGAUCCAGAAUCGCACGCCCAACGGAGCGUGACUAAGUGCCCACUUUGAUCCAGAAUCGCAUCUCUACGCUGUUCAAGCGACUUAGUCUUGCUGGAGACCCGGCCACCGACCGGUAGCUUUGGCUACUUGCGAUCUCUGUUAUGGGCAUCUCAGUUUGUUCCUCUGAACAUUUACGCCAUGUCAAUGUGUAAAUUGAGUGGCGGCUUGAUUUAUUUGUGGUCAAUCUCGAGAUGCUAAUCCAAUAGAAAGUUUAAGAAUUAAAAUUUCGAUACUCGAACGUUAUCCAAUUCUGUCACUGAUCAGCUAAGCUUUCGGGGGAAAAAUAAAAAAGUAUUGUCGUUAGUGUCAAUCAAGCCGUCUGGGAUUUAGUCACCAUCUUCUUCCAAUUAAAUGAUCUCCUUUAGCAACAAAGUUUAAGCGGUACUUUUGACUUAUAAGAUGCGAAAAGAAAUGGUGCUAGUCUUGGGAAAUGGACAUACGUACCUUCACUUUUCUGUUUAGGUAACAUAAGUAGAUUUUUUCAGAAAGUUUCGUGUGGCAGAGUUUGGCAAAAGAUGUUGCCAAGCAUCGACAAACCUACUAUUCCAUAUGUUAAGACCUUAAUCUAACUAGAACUCCAUGUAAGGAAGUUAAUUAGUUCAUUUUUAGUUGGUCUAAAGCCAGCUCUCUUCCAAUUUCCGUCAAAAUCUAAAAUAUUAUUCAAAUGCUAAAGGUGUAUUGCUAAAGAAUGAUUAAACACUUAAUAACAAUAGUUAACAAAUUGAAAAUCAGGUGCUUACUUAGCUAUUUAACAAGUGACCCAUGGGUACUCUUUAACAGUCGUAUGUUUUAAAAGGUUUCAUGUAUUUCCACUUUAAUAAAAAUCAAAGUACAUGCACUACAAAAUUCCAAAAAAGCAAGUGGUAAAGAUUGAGGUGUUUCGUCUUGAACUUUUGAAAGCAAGAAAAAGUGAUUUUUUUUAUUUAAAAUAUCAUUUGAAUUUUAAAAAAUUUAUCAAAAUACUACAUGUGUGUGUUUAUCUGUCAACAUUUAUGUUUGGCAAGGGGUAAAAAGAUGACAAAUUGUGAAAGUAUGGGGUUUAGAAAAGCAAAAGUAAAAAAUUAGAAGUCGAUUCAGACCACUCAAUUGAUUGAUUNNNNNNNNNNNNNNNNNNNNNNNNNNNNNNNNNNNNNNNNNNNNNNNNNNNNNNNNNNNNNNNNNNNNNNNNNNNNNNNNNNNNNNNNNNNNNNNNNNNNACCAUAAGUGGAGACUUUAGUGAAUUGUUUCCUGAAGUAAGAUGGCUUCGAUGGUUAUACAUUGAACCUGAUAUAUUUUCUUCAGCAAUCAAUUUGCAUCUAUCUAAAUUAGUGGUGUUGGAAUUGUUACAAAACAAGCUUACAGAUGAUUGGGGAGGAUGGAGUUUGAUCAUGGUAAGAUGGAAAAAAAGACAUCCUCUAUGAUCUUUGCUUUGUUUUGUUUUAUCAAUUAAACUCCUUUUUGAUAGCUUUUUCUCUUUUGUACAGGCAGCAAAGCAACUAAAAGUUCUCGACCUUUCAAAUAGCAGGGAGUUAAGAUAUACUCCUAAUCUCUCGGCUUUCACGAAGUUGGAGAUUCUUAUCUUGUCUAACUGUUACAAAUUGAAGCAAGUCGACCCUUCUAUUGGCAAACUCAAGAGUCUCAUAUCUUUGAACUUGUGUCAUUGUGAAAAUAUGAAAGAGCUACCAGAGGAAGUGGGGGAAUUGCAAGAACUAAAAGAACUCCUUUUAAGUGAUAGUGGCAUUACAAAGAUUCCUACGUCGAUCUACUCUCUAAGGAAGCUAGAGUGUCUGGAUAUCGCAUUUUGUUGUUCAUUGGUUGAAAUCCCUCCCACAAUUGGGAAUUUUUCUUCUCUCAAACUACUUGAUCUAGAGGAUUGUAAGUCAUUGACAGAAAUCCCUAGCUCAAUUGGGAAUCUUUCUUCCCUCAAACGACUUGAUCUAUUGGGUUGCAAGUCAUUGACAGAAAUCCCUAGCUCAAUUGAGAAUCUUUCUUCUCUCAAACAACUUAAUAUAGGGAGUUGCGAGUCAUUGAUAGAAAUCCCUAACUCAAUUGGGAUUAUUUCUUCUCUCAAACGACUUGAUCUACAUAGUUGUGUGUCCUUGACAGAAAUCCCUAGCUCAAUUGGGAAUCUUUCUUCUCUUGAACGGCUUGAUUUAUGGGGUUGCAUGUCCUUGACAGAACUCCCUAGCUCAAUUGGGAAUCUUUCUUCUCUUAAACAGCUUGAUUUAUGGGGUUGCAUGUCAUUGACAGAAAUCCCUAGCUCAAUUGGGAAUAUUUCUUCUCUCAAACAACUUGAUCUACGGAGUUGCAAGUCAUUAAUAGAAAUCCCUAACUCAAUUAGGAAUCAUUUUUUUCUAGAUUUUGGGUUAUUGACAGAAAUCCCUAUCUCAAUUGAGUAUCUUUUUUCUCUCAAACAACUUGAUCUUUCUUCUCUCGGAGUACUUGAUCUACAUGGUUGUAUGUCAUUGACAGAAAUCCCUAGCUCAAUUCGGAAUUAUUCUUCUCUCAAACAACUUGAUCUAGAGGGUUGCGUGUCAUUGACAGGAAUCCCUAGCUCAAUUGGGAAUCUUUCUUCUCUUGAACAAUUUAAGCUAUGGGGUUUCGUGUCCUUGACAAAAAUUCCUAGCUCAAUUGGGAAUCUUUCUUCUCUAAAAGAACUUCGUCUAAGGGGUUGCGAGUCAUUGACAGAAAUCCCUAGCUCAAUUGGAAAUCUUUCUUCUCUUGAACAACUUCAUCUAGAGGGUUGUGAUGUCAUUGACAGAAAUCCCUAGCUCAAUUGGGAAUCUUUCUUCUCUCAAACAACUUGAUCUACAUAGUUGCGUGUCCUUGACAGAACUCCCUAGCUCAAUUGGGAAUCUUUCUUCUCUUGAACAGCUUGAUUUAUGGGGUUGCAUGUCAUUGACAGAAAUCCCUAGCUCAAUUGGGAAUAUUUCUUCUCUCAAUCAACUUGAUCUACAUAGUUGCGUGUCCUUGACAGAACUCCCUAGCUCAAUUGGGAAUCUUUCUUCUCUUGAACAGCUUGAUUUAUGGGGUUGCAUGUCAUUGACAGAAAUCCCUAGCUCAAUUGGGAAUAUUUCUUCUCUCAAACAACUUGAUCUACGGAGUUGCAAGUCAUUAAUAGAAAUCCCUAACUCAAUUAGGAAUCAUUUUUUUCUAGAUUUUGGGUUAUUGACAGAAAUCCCUAUCUCAAUUGAGUAUCUUUUUUCUCUCAAACAACUUGAUCUUUCUUCUCUCGGAGUACUUGAUCUACAUGGUUGUAUGUCAUUGACAGAAAUCCCUAGCUCAAUUCGGAAUUAUUCUUCUCUCGAACUUGAUCUAGGGGGUUGCGUGUCAUUGACAGGAAUCCCUAGCUCAAUUGGGAAUCUUUUUUCUCUUGAACAACUUAAGCUAUGGGGUUUCGUGUCCUUGACAAAAAUCCCUAGCUCAAUUGGGAAUCUUUCUUCUCUAAAAGAACUUCUUCUAAAGGGUUGCGAGUCAUUGACAGAAAUCCCUAGCUCAAUUGGAAAUCUUUCUUCUCUCAAACAACUUAAGCUAUGGGGUUGUGUGUUAUUGGAAGAAAUCCCUAACUCAAUUGGGAACCUUUCUUCUCUCGAACAACUUGAUCUAGGGUGUUGCGUGUCAUUAACAGGAAUCCCUAGCUCAAUUGGGAAUCUUUCUUCUCUUGAACAACUUAAGCUAUGGGGUUGCAAGUCAUUGAUAGAAAUCCCUAGCUCAAUUGGGAAUCUUUCUUCUCUUGAACAACUUCAUCUAGAGGGUUGUGAGUCAUUGACAGAAAUCCCUAACUCAAUUGGGAAUCUUUCUUCUCUCGAACAACUUAAGUUAUGGGGUUGUGUUUUAUUGGAAAAAAUUCCUAACUCAAUUGGGAAUCUUUUUUCUCUCAAACAACUUGAUCUACGGAGUUGCAAGUCAUUGACAGAAAUCCCUAGCUCAAUUGUGAAUCUUUCUUCUCUUAAACAACUUAAUCUACAGAGUUGCGAGUCAUUAAUAGAAAUCCCUAACUCAAUUGGGAAUAUUUUUUCUCUAGGUUGUGGGUCAUUGACAGAAAUCCCUAUCUCAAUUGAGAAUCUUUUUUCUCUUAAACAACUUGAUCUUUCUUCUCUCGAAGUACUUGAUCUAAAUAGUUGUGUGUCAUUGACAGAAAUCCCUAGCUCAAUACAGAAUUAUUCUUCUCUCGAACAACUUGAUUUAGGGGGUUGUGUGUCAUUGACAGGAAUCCCUAGCUCAAUUGGGAAUCUUUUUUCUCUUGAACAACUUAAGCUAUGGGGUUGCGGGUCCUUGACAGAAAUCCCUAGCUCAAUUGAGAAUCUUUAUUCUCUCAAACAACUUGAUCUAGGGUAUUGCAAGUUAUUGACAGAAAUCUCUAAUUCAAUUGGGAAUCUUUCUUCUUUCAAACAACUUGAUCUACGGAGUUGCGAGUCAUUAAUAGAAAUCCCUAACUCAAUUGGGAAUCUUUUUUCUCUCGAGCAACUUAAUCUAGGAGGUUGUGGGUCAUUGACAGAAAUCCCUAUCGCAAUUGGGAAUCUUUCUUCUCUCAAACAACUUGAUCUAUGGGGUUGUGUGUUACUAAGAGAAAUCCCUAGCUUAAUUGGGAAUCUUUCUUCUCUCGAACAACUUUAGCUAGGGGGUUGUGUGCUAUUGAGAGAAAUCCCUAGCACAAUUGGGAAUCUUUCUUCUCUCAAACAACUUGAUCUAUGGGGUUGCAAGUUAUUGACAGAAAUCCCUAGUUCAAUUGGGAAUCUUUCUUCUCUAAAAAAGCUUGAUCAAAAGAGUUGCGAGUUAUUAACAGAAAUCCCUAGCUCAAUUGGGGAUCUUUCUUCUCUUGAACAACUUCAGUUAGGGGGUUGUGUGUCAUUGGGAGAAAUCCCUAGCUCAAUUGAGAAUCUUUCUUCUCUUAAAGUACUUGGACUAGAGGCUUGAAAGUCAUUGAGAGAAAUCCCUAUCUCAAUUAGGAAUCUUUCUUCUCUCGAAUACCUUAACCUUUACGGGUGUUGUUCACCAAAAGAAAUUCCUACCUCAAUUGCGGAUUUAUCGAAUUUGCAAAGCAUUGGGGAUUUUUGACCUUGAAUAGUUACCUAUUGCUAUUGGAUGGUUGAACAAACCGCCGAAGGCUAUUUCUUGAAUCUUGUGAUAGUCUAAAAGGGGGAAUUCCAAGAGAAAACGAUGACUUGUCUUCGUUUGUGAUUCUCCAUAUCAGUGGCACAUUGAUAUUUGACCCGCCAGAAAGCAUCUGGAAUAUUUCUUCUCUCUAUUGCCUUGACCAAGAGGGCUGUAGGGAGCUUGAUCGUUGCUAGAGCUUCCUUCCGGCUUAACAUAUCUUCAAAUUCCUAGGUUGCCAGAGCUUUCUUACCUAUUCCACUUGGAAGAACUUCAUUUUUAUGGAUACGAUCAACUUGAGUACUUCCCAGAGCUUACCUCAAGACUCUUGAAACUUUGUGUUGACUUCUGUCCCAAGUUGAUAUUGCUUGAGCUUGACGGAUUCAAGUACUUGGAAGAGUUGUCAAUAAAACACUAUAAUUCCAUUGAAAGAAUGGACCUCUCACAAUCGAAUCUUCUGAAAGAAUGGAGGAUUGCGAUAAUCUAGUUGAAAUUUAGGGCCAAGGUAAAUUGGAGUUCUUGGAGACAAUACAUACAUAUAGCUACAAGUUCGUUAGAAGGCCGAUCCAUCCGAAACUACAAGGGCUUGAAGCAAUUAAAUACUUGCUAUUGCGACAAUCUAGUCAAAAUACAAGGUCUUGAUAAGGUGGAGUUGUUAGAGAUGUUGAAUGUAUGUAAUCGUGAUUCUAUCGAAAGAUUACCUGACCUAUGAUGCUUUUGGAACUUGAAAGAGUUGAAUAUCAAUGGUUGUCAUAAUCUACGUGGUGUCGAGACUCAAUUCCCAGUCUUAUAUAAGUGCAAGAGUGGAGAAGUCAAUCCUAGAAGCUAACAUGAUGCUUCAGCCAAGAUCAAAAUUUCGAUCCAAUUGUGGUUCUUCAUACGUUAGAAGGCGUUGGUCAUCUGGUAAGAUUCUUUGACCUUUAACAACUAGAACGAGCCAAAAGUGUAAUACUUUUCUAACAGAUAUAUCUUUUAAGAAUUAUUUGCUCGACGCUUCGUAUCUAUUUGAUCUGGAUUUGCCUAAGUAUAUUCGCUGUUGAUUGCAUCACAGCAAUGCUUUUUCAGUUAAUCUUCAAUCGGCAACUUUUGCAGAUAGAUUGGCGGCUUGUGAGGCAACAAAUGAAAACUAACAACAUAGGUAAACAAGAAUUACUUAGUGAUUUACAGUUUCCCUCUUGGUAAACCCAAGAUGAGAAUUUUUCAUCAAGAGGUUGAUCUUCUGCAACUCAAUUUAUAAACUCCACCCAGAUCCCUUUUUUCUCUGUCUCAAACUAGUAUUUUCCUUUAAAAAAUCCUUCGCCUUUUUGAACUCCUUUUUGUGAGCAAUUUUAUGUGUCAAAUUUGACUAUUGGUAGAUAUCCUGUUUAGGACAAACAGCUCUCGAUUUUUCGUGAUGAUGGGAAAGCCUAUCCAUUGUUCAUUCGAGCAUGAAUUCUCAUUAAGGAAGAGAAACUGAGCUAAAAUAAAAAUCAAGGUUCAAUUUUUUUUUGGUGCGUGAUUUAAAAAAGUAAAAAUUAGUUUUGGCUAGCCUUUUUCAUCUAUGAUUGUAGGCAGGCUUUCCAUAAACAAUUGUGAGACUGUUGAAAGAUUAUCAAGCGAGAUAAAUUGGUGCUACUUUUGUGACAGGUUGGGUUGGUCUAUGUAAUGAUCAAGGCUUACGUUUGGACUUUAAUUCAAAGAGCUGUAUGGAUGACCUUUUGCAUAAUUGGGACAAUUUUUUGCCUGCUCUAUAAAACAAGCUAGGCGAGGAGCUUAAGAUUUUGCUUAUUAUUGUGCAUCCCGUUUGAACCUGAUGUUGUCAUGGAAUCAUUUUAUCAAAUGAUUGAUCUGGGUCUGGUUAACUCGGCUGAGGCAAUUUAUAGUCCAUACCCCAGAGAAUGAUCAAAUGAAGAAGAGGGAUUUUGCUGAGGUGUCAUUAGCAACAGCUGAAGGCUAGCUUUUGUGCGACCUUGAACAGGCUCAUGGGCCAACUGGAGUAUCCUAAGGAAGUUUUUUAUGCCUGUGAAGAUCAAAGCACUUGAUAUGGUUUCAUCAGCACAAAACUGAAUGAUUGUGAAUGUAUUAUUUUUCAGUUGAAUCUACAUUUUGUAUUCUCAUUAGGUUCUACCUCUAUUAAGCAAAUACACACGUGCUGAUUUUUCUACAUGUUAACCAGAUGCUGAGUUCUUUGAUGCAAUGCGCUCUAAUGGUAUCAUUCCCAAACUCAAAGCAGGCUCUGCAGAUAGAGGUAUGCACUGCCAGUCCUACCAUAACUGUGAAAGAGUGACUCGUGUACUUAUAUUUAAUUGAAUGUGCUGUAUGCUUGUUAGGUUCUACCUCUCUGUUAAUCGAAUAUGUAUGUGCUGAUUUUUCUGCAUGUUACCCUGAUGCGGAGUUGUUUGAUGCGGUCUCAUUCUAAUGAUAUCACUUUCAAACCCAAUGAGGCUCUGCAGAUGGAGGUAUGUACUACCAGUUGUACCAUAAUAGAGUAACUUGUGUGCUUAUACUAUGUGAGCUGUGGAGUUUCACCAGAAAUCCGUGAACUAGGAUGCAUGAUGACAAUCUCCUCUUUUUCUGUCAGUUCAUAAUAUCUUUUGAAUGUUGUGAUAAAGGUCUCUGAUACGACGAGCUUAAAUCUCAUGUAUGUAGCAUUAAAUUUGUAAAGUUAAAUAUAGCCUCCUAGCAAACAAUUCCAUAUUGCUAAUUUCGCUAAUUGGAUAUUGCAAAAUAACCAAGUAACAAGUACGCCUUUCUGCUAUGUAGUUUGGGCACUUUGCCUUUUCAGCAUCCGUUUGUUCAUAAACACAAACAAGGAUAAUGGUGCUAAUUGCUGACUUCUCUUCUCUUAAAGUCCGUUGUUUUCUAUUUCUUUGGCUGAUAAUGAAUUCUGUUGAUUGCGAUCCAAUUGCGAAUUAAUCAGAGACCCUUGGAAUGUGUGGCAAAACUAAUGUCCCCAGAUUUUGGUGUUGAUAGGUAGGAUUCAUUGAAGAGGUCACUUGUAGAUCGCCAGAAUCUGGACCAGGUCAAAAUAACCUUGUUUAUAUUGAUGGACUCUCAAGUCUAUGCUUAUUACUUUCGGCUAAUUUUAGGUUCUUCAUUCCAAAUACAUCUAAAAAUAGACAGAACUAAGGAUCCAUGCAGCCGUGCCUUUAUCUCUCUUCGAGAUGAUUGGAAAGUGUGACACAGUUUUACUCUCAACCAUCUCGUGUAACACAUGCAUCGCCCUCAUUUUCUGACCAUCUUUGGCAAGUGCCCGGGUGGAGACUAGUUAUAAGUCUUCUAAGGUUGAAUUUGUUAGUGUUCGUAACUUUUGACGAAAUAUCAUAAACAACCUGAAUUUAUCAUUCAUUCUUUUCCUAAAUCUAUCACGAAGUACAUAUGUAGCUAGUAAAAUUAUAAUUAUUUUGAAAAUCUCAUGUGACAACAGCUGAUUGGAAAAGCCAAUGAGUGUGAGACCCAAAUACAGGGUUUACAUUUGAUGAUGCGGUUCAAACUAUAAGAGACACACCUUCGGGUCGUCCAAAACUUCUUAACGACUUGCCUCGAAGGAAACAACCAAGAGAAUGGAACAAAAUUUCACCAAGGAAUGAAGAAGGAGAAGGAGAAGGAGAAGGGGAAGGAGAAGAAGAAGAAGAAGAUUGCCUCAACUGAGUUGAGAACAAAAUUGCAGCUACCACUGCUACCGAACCUUCUCAUGUGGACUCCGGUGCCACCUCCUCUGUGGUUUAACUGGUAUGAUGACUAAUUCAUGAAAUAUUUGAUAUAAUGCCAAAGUGCUAAUUUCCAAGUCCCCUUCAUUUAUUGAGUAGUAUAAGCUUGCACAAGUUCAAUUUCCUUGCGCUCGUAUCAGCAGCAGCAUCACAAAGUCCGGUCUUCCAAUUCCCAAUGAAAUGUUCUUUUUUAUUCUUUGCAGGGUUUUAUACCGAUAAAUUGUUGAUACUCCCUGCAAUAAGCUCCGACGAUCGUGGUGUACAUGGUCACAUCUAGCUCUCAGCCUGUGUCUUCCAAAUUCUUCAGCAAUCGAACGACUUUUCCAGUAUUGCCGGUUCUGCACAAUCCCUCAUCAUGGCUUGGCACGUGGUUAUAUCUACCUCGAUUGUCUAACCAACAUUUCAUCCGCCAAGCUCAUGGCUUUGGCGAUUCUCCCCUCUCCAACGAGCCCAUUGAUCAAAGUGUUAAAAGCUCGCAGUUGUGGGUUCAAGUCCAAGUUUGACCAUUUUACACAAAACUGAGGACCCGAGAUCGGAUCUUUUCAAUUGGCAGAGGUAAUUUAUCAAAAUGUUGGGAGUAGAACUGUUGAGAGUCGUUCCUUUCGAACCCAUCCGCUCGAUCAUGUCAAUGGCGACGGGGUAAUGCUUCAUCUUGGCGCCAACCCCAAGAGUUGGGCGAAACAGGGAGGUAAAGUCAAGAGGGUUCACUCGAAUUGUCCUCUCCAAGAAGAAUAAAGCAUCAGCAGCUUCCACCAAUCCACCAUUUCUUCAUUUGUUCACCACAAAGGUCACAAGUUCAGAUUGAUCCAUUGAAUCACUCACUCCAGCAGUGGAUGGGCAACCGUGGGAGCAACGUGAAAGAAAAUGGUUCGAUGCAAAGAUGGGAUGACGGAUGAGAAGUGAAAGGUUUAGCAAGAUCGCCAGAUUCUCGAACAAGACAGUGAAGAGUGGAAGUGAAAAUGGAUCGAUUCAUUCUCAUUAGUUUUGCCAAAUUCUCUCCUUCUGAGUUCCAACAAUCCACAAAUUGACGCAAUGACGUAUGGAGAGGAUGAUUAUUAGGCAGUUUAAUCACUGAAAUUUUAGAUGUCUGAUAACAACAUAGUUUUCGGUUCAAUCAUUGAAAACUACUUGAUUGGCAAACUAAACAUUUCUAGAAAUGCUCUGAUCAAUUCAUUCCCCUACUCGGCAAUUGAAGAGAGGUCAGGAUGCAUAAUCAUGCUCAGGAUGCAUAAUCAUGCUCUUAUACUGUUGUAAAAACAACUAUGAAAUCCACAUGUGGGACCAAAUCCGAAUGGAUUGAAAUCUCACACGACAAAAACGGCGAACACUAGCAGAGUUAAAGUAUCGCCUGUCGACAUGAACGUUUCAAGUCUUACUACUAUAGGCCCAAAAAAAUGAGAAAACAAUACUAACUAUUGUGUAUAGAACAUACUUUUGACAUUAUACCAACUUAACAAUUUGUUUUGGUUUAUUCGAUGCUUUCUUACUCAUCGAAUGAGCCAGGCAUCCUGGCUCACAUGUUGCAAAACGAAACUUUCUUAUAUGAAUUUUUGGUCUGGAUGGUUUACAUACUUUGUGUUUCGCAUAUGAAGUAUGUACUUCAAGAAGGAAAAUAAUAAUUAUUUUUUUGGCCCUGAUAACAUAGGAUUACUCAUCCAGUGGCUAAAACUCUAAACAUGUGAAACGGAUGACGAAGCUAAAUCAAUAAUUUCUCUUUGAAAUUGAAAGUGUCUUCUUUUUGUGACUAGCCUUUUCAUGCUUAGGUUAUCAUCUUGUCGUUCAACUGAACAAAGCAUGCAACUGAUUAGAAGUGCCGCUCUACGAGGACAUAGAAAGACAAUAGUUUACGAAGUAGAUAGGAACCCGAACGUUACGUGGAAAUAAUUGAUAAAGAGAAAAUGAGAAAGUCAUCCAUAUGACAUUCAUAACAGGUAAUUACCACUAGAUAUGCAAUAUUUGGGAGGAUAGAGUUUUCUGUUUUACAUUUCUAUUUCAAUGUGCCAUCAGAUUCGGUAAUUCUAGAUUUAAUUCAUAUUGUGAUUCCUCUCAUUCUUCAUCCUGAUCUCUUUUACGUCAUUUCAGUUGCUUCGUUCUUGUACACCAAACAUGCCCUUACGGUUUUCUAGUGUAGGCAUCGGUAGUUUGUUUUCUUCUAAGAUAUUUUUGCUUCUUGGAAUUAAUGGUGACCGAGUAGAGUUUUCUCCAUCUUGCGAUUUGGGUGUAUUGAGGUGCUUGUGUGGUGUGUUAUGGAAGGAAGUUUCACAUCGGAGACAUGAUGUAAUUGUCAACGUGAAUUUUGAUGAAAAUGCAUCUAGACCGUAGAGUAGUGGUAUAGGAACUCAGAAAAUCUUUGAUAGAUUUUCCUGUGGAAACUUGUCGAAGAAAGGUAUCUGACUUUGCGUUCUGAAUAUGUAUGUCAACAGCUAUUUCGCCCGAGGUAUUUGUUUUUCUUCGGAGAGUGUGUGCAUCUACCACCCUUUUCUUUUUCUUUGUUUUUUGUUUUUUGUUUUUGUUUUUUUUUUUUUGUUUUGGUUUUUUUUGUUUUGGUUUUUUUUUUGGUUUUUUUUUUUUUGUGCAUCCAUGUGGUAGAAAUUCUAUAUUGGCAAAUAAUAGAAGUGCUAUGCCAUAAUUUCAAAUUAUUGGGGGAAGUUAUGAGUUGUGCGUCCAGUAGUCCUUCCUCGAGGAUGGGAUAACGCGGGUCUUGAAUGAAGCUACUAAUCAAGAUCCUUUUGUUCCCAUGCACGUCAAGACGCAAAAACAAUUUCGACGUAUUUUCUAUGGGAUUGCGCAGCCACCUGAUCCCGUUGCAAAGAGAACUAGCAAAAGGUGAGGAGGGUUCAUUGAGUAAAGAAGUAAAUUUUCUGGUCAAAGAUGAGCAGUCACGGCAGGAUCGUGUGUAUCCCACGCACAUCCGGCUCAUCUUCUAGGGCAAUAAUAGAAGAAGAAAUUUCCAAUAUCAACACCUUACAAAUGGAAAAGUUGCCAAGUACAAGGAGAUAAUUCCGUACCUCUUAAAGAUGGUAUCCCGUAAAAAAGUUAAUCUCCACCGGGAUUGGUGUGGCGAUGGGCUCCAAUUACAAAGAGAACUAACAAAAAUAUCACAGCGGGUAGUCUUGCCUAUUUCGGGGGAGGAAGGUUUGUUAUGGUGGUCUUGGUCAGAGGGUUAAAAGGAGUAGAAGUGCCUCGUAAAAAGAAGCGCCAUCCUCUGCAAGAUUGUGCGUCUCCUUUGGGGCAAGAGACUGAAGUAAAGCUUUAUUUAUGACAUGUUUGGUAAUGUUUCUAAUUCUCAAAAUUUCUAUUCUUUUUAUUUUCGAAAAUAGAAAAAGAAUGGAAAUUUAUUAAGUGAUGUUAGUUAAUUUUUUGAUUUCUUGAAAUAGAGAAUAGAUUUGAAACAAAAAUAAAAAGUAAAAAAGAGUUAUUUAUUUAUUUUCGAAAAUAAUUUUUGAAACAAAUCAUUUUUUCUUCUUUUCUUUUUCUUUCUCCUCUUUUAUGUUCUUUACGUAGUGCCCAUGAGUUUGGGGGCAUGGCCAACUCCGAAGUUAAUGAAAAGAAGACUAAGGUUCACUCGUAAGCACAAGAGAUUAUAUAGUUGAGCUUGAGGUUGAGCUAAAGCUAAACUUUAACUAGUCUAGUUUUAGUGUAAGAACCUUUUUUGUGGGUAGAUAUUACAUCAAAGUACAUUGAAAAUCACUUAUUAGGUUAUAGUUUUGUUUAAUUAAUUGAACAAUUCUAGUGAAGAAAUGAAAAAAAUGACGUCAGCUUUACUCCUGAUGGGACAUAGAAAUUAACAAGCUGUUAGCACUUGAUUAAGGUCAUUUAUAAACGUUUUUUUUUCCUCCACUGCACCCCAGUACGUAUUUGGUAAUUGUAAUCCUAAAUAGAAUACGCAUUUUCUAUGUGGCCUUAUAGUGGGCAUAGAGCUUCGUAUGGUCUCUUCGAAGGUCUUCCCCAGUAAUUCAGUAGAAAUUGUUAUCAAAAGUUGCCUCUGGUGCUGUGUUUUGUCACUUUGUGUCCAAACUUCUUUUGUUCGUAUCCUACGGUGGCUUUUUGUUCAUGAAAAUAUGCUUUAUUUUAGCAAACUGUAAGCUAACAUGCUUAGAGAAAAAUGUUUUAGGAACCUACAGUGUUUUGGACUUAGCAUUAAAACCAAAAAUCAUACUGAUCCAGAAGCAAUUAUCGUACCGAAAGGAAAAAGAGAAGAGAAACGGAGAAUAUAGAUAACAAGUCUUGGUCAGGUUGUUUGUGGGGUCAAGAGGCAUCAUUCCUUCAUAUGACAUAAGAUGCUAGAGAUCUUGAUUUUGUCUGUCAUUUUAAGGCGCGUUUGGUAAUGAUUCUGUUCCCGAAAACAAAUUAUGAUCAGAAAUGAUUUUUUUUAUUUUUUUAUUUUGUUUCCGGAAACAGAUUCUGAGCAAAAAAAUAUGUUUGAUAAUUAUACAAAAUUUCUGGUUCUAGAAUAGAAAAAAAAAAACAUAAAUGCGUUUGGUAAAUGCAUAAAAUUUUAAUUUUAUUCUUUUUUAAUUACCUUUUUAGAUGAGUGUAACUUUGAUAUUGAAUUCUCAUAAACCACUCACUAAUAUAAUUGUCUUCUUUUAUGAGUGAAGAAAUCAUAUUAUAUUUUAUUAUAUUUUCAAUUUCAAAUAAUUCGAAUUUAGAAUUCUAUUAUAUUUAAAAUUCUACCAAAUCAUAGACAUUCNNNNNNNNNNNNNNNNNNNNNNNNNNNNNNNNNNNNNNNNNNNNNNNNNNNNNNNNNNNNNNNNNNNNNNNNNNNNNNNNNNNNNNNNNNNNNNNNNNNNNNNNNNNNNNNNNNNNNNNNNNNNNNNNNNNNNNNNNNNNNNNNNNNNNNNNNNNNNNNNNNNNNNNNNNNNNNNNNNNNNNNNNNNNNNNNNNNNNNNNNNNNNNNNNNNNNNNNNNNNNNNNNNNNNNNNNNNNNNNNNNNNNNNNNNNNNNNNNNNNNNNNNNNNNNNNNNNNNNNNNNNNNNNNNNNNNNNNNNNNNNNNNNNNNNNNNNNNNNNNNNNNNNNNNNNNNNNNNNNNNNNNNNNNNNNNNNNNNNNNNNNNNNNNNNNNNNNNNNNNNNNNNNNNNNNNNNNNNNNNNNNNNNNNNNNNNNNNNNNNNNNNNNNNNNNNNNNNNNNNNNNNNNNNNNNNNNNNNNNNNNNNNNNNNNNNNNNNNNNNNNNNNNNNNNNNNNNNNNNNNNNNNNNNNNNNNNNNNNNNNNNNNNNNNNNNNNNNNNNNNNNNNNNNNNNNNNNNNNNNNNNNNNNNNNNNNNNNNNNNNNNNNNNNNNNNNNNNNNNNNNNNNNNNNNNNNNNNNNNNNNNNNNNNNNNNNNNNNNNNNNNNNNNNNNNNNNNNNNNNNNNNNNNNNNNNNNNNNNNNNNNNNNNNNNNNNNNNNNNNNNNNNNNNNNNNNNNNNNNNNNNNNNNNNNNNNNNNNNNNNNNNNNNNNNNNNNNNNNNNNNNNNNNNNNNNNNNNNNNNNNNNNNNNNNNNNNNNNNNNNNNNNNNNNNNNNNNNNNNNNNNNNNNNNNNNNNNNNNNNNNNNNNNNNNNNNNNNNNNNNNNNNNNNNNNNNNNNNNNNNNNNNNNNNNNNNNNNNNNNNNNNNNNNNNNNNNNNNNNNNNNNNNNNNNNNNNNNNNNNNNNNNNNNNNNNNNNNNNNNNNNNNNNNNNNNNNNNNNNNNNNNNNNNNNNNNNNNNNNNNNNNNNNNNNNNNNNNNNNNNNNNNNNNNNNNNNNNNNNNNNNNNNNNNNNNNNNNNNNNNNNNNNNNNNNNNNNNNNNNNNNNNNNNNNNNNNNNNNNNNNNNNNNNNNNNNNNNNNNNNNNNNNNNNNNNNNNNNNNNNNNNNNNNNNNNNNNNNNNNNNNNNNNNNNNNNNNNNNNNNNNNNNNNNNNNNNNNNNNNNNNNNNNNNNNNNNNNNNNNNNNNNNNNNNNNNNNNNNNNNNNNNNNNNNNNNNNNNNNNNNNNNNNNNNNNNNNNNNNNNNNNNNNNNNNNNNNNNNNNNNNNNNNNNNNNNNNNNNNNNNNNNNNNNNNNNNNNNNNNNNNNNNNNNNNNNNNNNNNNNNNNNNNNNNNNNNNNNNNNNNNNNNNNNNNNNNNNNNNNNNNNNNNNNNNNNNNNNNNNNNNNNNNNNNNNNNNNNNNNNNNNNNNNNNNNNNNNNNNNNNNNNNNNNNNNNNNNNNNNNNNNNNNNNNNUGGUUUUCCGAAGAGCAGCUUCCUGUAGCCAACACCAAAACCACACAGAAUUACUGGGAAAAUCUAGUUUUGAGAAAACAAGAGGUUUUCAGCGGGGGUCAGAGCUGUUUCCAUAUAAGUAUAUAGAGGUUUUGAACAGGGGUCAGAGCUGUUUUCAUACAUAUAUACAUAUAUAGAGGAUACAGUAGAUCUCUGCUCUUGAGACAAUUUAGGACAUGCGGCAAAGGAGCUAUCAAGAAAAGGUACUUACUUGCUUUGGCCAGGAUGAAGAUAACGAGUUCUGCAGCUCCAUGUGUCUAGCAGCAACGUCCUUAAACCCCUCUUCCAACUUAACUUCAUGGUGCUUUUUUUCCUCAAGCGAACUCACCAAUCUGUCCAGAAAUCUACAAUUCGGAGAAACAAAGGAGUUAUUAAAGUAUGUUCUCCUUUGUAUAUAGGAAAUAGAAAGUAGACUGGCACCUCUCCAACUUCCUAUAGUGAAAGUGACGAAUUUCAUACACUUUGAAAAACUGAAUAGAAAUUGCAAUGAACAGACCAUCAAUCUGAAAGAAUAUCUGAAAGCACCUUUUGGAGUAUCAUGAUUAAGUCUUGAGUUUUCCUGUUUGUCAGCAGAGAAAUAGCCAGUGAAACGUCUGAAACCAUUGUCUCGAUGGCAUCAGCCGCAAACUGCUGUAGAACAAAGGGAGCAACUGACUGGACUUGAUGCUGCAAAGAUAUGUAUCUGAUUCCUCAACUCUGCUAUCGCUGAUGGAGAAGGCUUUGAUCUGAUGAAAGUACCAAAUUAGGCAAGAACAAGAGAUGUUGUCCAAAACAAUGUCAGUACAAUCUUUGCAAAAUACAAUAAAUCUGGGAGGUGACCAUGAGAUGAACCAUAAAUUGGGAAAGAACAAUUGAACGACGCAACAAACUAAACACUAUCUCAUAGAGAUCAUCGAGAAUCUUAUUUCUAUACUCUGUAUCUAGAAGCUGGCUUCGACCUUCCUUUGUUUCUGCAGCUUGUGAAAUAGUUGGUGAAUUAACUGCACCCACAUUGGGCAAGCUAACAUCAUCAAUGACAUCAACUUGAGGUGUCUCAACACUAACAUCCCAAGAUAUCUCUGACACCGAUGCGUCCUGUCCAGCAUUGCUUGGUUGAAUUUGAUUAUGCUCGACAGCUUCAUUGACCUCACUUGCCGUGACGAUUUCAUAAGUACCAAAGCCAUUACUGCCGUCAUCAGUUUCUUCCACAGUCCCAAUAUCCCAAUCAAUUGCAGCAUUGUCUACCGAGAUAUCCCAGUCAAUAUUAUCUGCAGCAGCAUCCACAUCACCUCCUAUCUCAUUGAAGCCUGAUUGAGUAUUUGCAGAGUCUGUGAUAUCAGAGACAGCAGAAACAUUCAAAGAUGGUGGAUUUUCACGAAUGUCUAUCAAGUUUGGUACAACACUCUUAGGACAUAUCUGCAAACAUGUCUCAAUAAAUUAAUCUUUACAUCAGACCGAAAACCAAUAAAUGGAUCUNNNNNNNNNNNNNNNNNNNNNNNNNNNNNNNNNNNNNNNNNNNNNNNNNNNNNNNNNNNNNNNNNNNNNNNNNNNNNNNNNNNNNNNNNNNNNNNNNNNNNNNACUUCCAGAAUUCUGCUAAAUGUGCUCGGAAGUGACUUUGCAGUUUCCAAAAGUUCAAACCUCACAUUUGUUCCCUGAAAAGCAGACAUGGAUGCCCUUUAAUCCUAUCUAAAGGAAAGGUUGCUAUUCUUUAGCUUGGUAGAAGCACACACCCAAUAUCUUAAUAGACUAGAUUCAAAAGUUUAACCUGCAAACCAAGCUCUUGACAAGCCUCCACAUAUUUAGCUGCUGACAGAGCUGCAUUUCUUUUGAUAUCAACUUCUCUACGCUCUAGCUCUGCUAGUUGCUGCUGAAUCUUCUGAACUUGUUUCCUCUGAUAGGGGCUUCACAUCAUAUUAAUUAUCAAUGAUAUGAUUAUGCCUAUCACAGAAAAACAUAUUGCAAUGUACUCUACACAUCUUAUCCUCCCGGCAAAACAUAUCAUAAUUGACAUUUUGGAUCAUUAUCUGAGCAGCUUCGCCUAAAAAUAUAUGAUCUUUCUCGAAAGAACAAACAAUUGUCUCCCAAGCACCCUGCCACAAUUCUAAAUCCAAUGCGAGAAUUAUCCUUUAGAUCACAGAAGAGUGUGUGUGAGCGUGAGAGAGAGAGAGAGAGAGAGAGAGAGAGAGAGAGGUCUUACAGCGGCACCUGAUAGCCAGCCAGAUCGGCGUGGGCGCCCGCCACUCGAGCCUGGUGGCGCUCCCACCAGCCGUCGCAGACGACGAACGAUGGCGAUGGUGAGCAAGCCGUCACCCAAAUCAGCCGACAACCACCCAUAGCUGCGAGUGAAGGGAACUCACCUUGAACGAGCAGUUUCAACGAUGAAGAAGCAGCAGUCGCCGUCGGUCGCAGUUCUUGAGGAGAGAAUGACUUUUGUGACGUAAGAAGAAAAAGAAAGGGUUUGAGCAGAGGAGAGGAGAGAACGCAUGGGAGAGAACGUCGAGCAAAGGAGAGAAGAGUUCCACUUUUUUUUUUUUUUUCGAAACAAGAAUUAUUUUUUUUUAUUCUUGAUUUUACUCAAAAUUGUUUCCAAAAGUAAAAAUUUUAUCAAGCGCGAUUCUGUUCCCAAACUAAUUUUAGGAACAAAAAAUCAGAAUCAGAUACUGUUUAGAUGGUUACCAAACAAUACCUUAGUAGCUAAUACUCGCAAGGUUGAUUCACUAGCUGUCUACAUGGACUUUGAUUCAAUUUCUUUGAAGCUCAAGAUAAGUCCAAGUUUUGAGCCAAGCUCGAAUCUACAAGUAUUAAGUCGAUAUAUCGAUUGCCAAUUUAUUUCCUUUGUUGCUUAAAUAUUGCCUAAGUAUUUGUUUGAAAUUGACGAAGUAAUACUUUUUUUUCCUUAAUUUACCUUUCUACUUUUAUAUUCCUUUUCAUCUGACGAUCUCCAAAAAAAUUGAAAAAAUAGCAUUUGCAACACUACUUUACUUUCUGGCCAGAAAAAGAAAAUGGAUAAUUAUGUACACCAAAGGAAAAUUAGGAUCCGUAAGGUAAUUUACUAACAAACUGAAAAUAGACAAAUCAUUAGACAGGAUUCGGUCCCAUCUUCCCUUCUCAUCUGGUCACUGUCGAGUGUCGAUCAUUCGACUUAAUUCUUGCCGUUCUUUAGGUGGCUUUGGGUUGUCCCCAAGCAUUUUGCUAGCGAGCCGAACUCGAGUCAAGAAAACAAUACUCGAUCAAGUUCCGAUUUUUGAGUGCCACGAUCCGACUCGAAUACACGCAUUUGUGCACAUUUUCUGUGGCAAGUUUCGCCAUUACGAGCGAGACAGAUAAUGACAUUCGGGGACGAGUCCCACAUAGGAAAGCAAAUGGUCGCAGCGAAACGAAAGGAUACCGAAGUCAGAAAAGCAUAUUAUACACAUUGCACGGGCUAGUUAGCUUCAAACUUGCGAACAAGGGGUGUCAAAAAAACCCGACCCGAACCGACCCGACCUAAACACGACCCGAACACAAAACAAGUUGAGUAUGUGUUUCGGGUCUUAGAAUUGUUCGGAUCACAUAUACAGAACAAGUAAAGAAAUAUGUUUCGGUUUGGGUCAGGGUCGAACAAUGUUUCGACCCGAAACAUGUUAAUUCCAAAUUCCAAACAAGCUGAGAAACACAAACACGUUCUGAUCUUUUACCGCUGAGAAACACAAACAAGUAAAGAAAUCCCUCGUAGUCUUCGGCUCCGCCUUCUUCUCCGACGACUGCGCCUUCUCGUGGAUUCUGCUGCCGCCCUCCGAUCGACGCGCCGCCGCCUCGCAGUCGCCGUCGCCGUCGCCACCCUCGUCUCAACGCCGGAACCCAAGCCGCUGCCAAAUCAAUCGAUCGUCGCCGUCCGUCGCCGAAAACCCUUCCCUAUCCCCUGUUAAGGGUCGAGCUGAAAUUUUGACGUUUAGGGUUCGAGUUCUAUGGGAGCUGUUGUUCCUGGAGAUUGGACAAGUCUUUGACCGUGGAGGUACGCCAUUCAUGCUUCGUCUCUGCGCAUAGCUUUUGCUUCUUGAAUUCGCCACCGUUUCUUGCUUUUUUUCCACCAAUGGCUCCGCCUCUUGGGUCGAGUCCACUCAGUCCAGGACAGCAGCACCGGGCUCUGUACCCAUCUGCGCGCGCCGGGUUCCCCUCUCGUUCCGUCCUCGGUUCGGGUUCUUGGGUGUGUCGUAGAUCGGUUCCUCUGCUUGAAACGCGAUUCUCUCGCGAUUGCGAUCGAGCGGACGAUAGUCAUGCAAAUGUUCAAUUAGAUUGUUUAGAGAUGUUAUUUGAGAUCAAGAUCGUCUAUUAGCUGUAUUUCAGUAUAAAUAAGUCCAAGUCUCUAACUCAUUAGCUUUCUUCAUUCAAUAAACAUGAUUGGGUUCUUCAUAAACCAUUAAUAUCUUUUUUUCUGUUCCAGCUUCAACUCAACUCUAUUUUAGCCCUGGUUUUUGGUCUUAUGCGAUCUGUCGCUUCUCAACUAAGUCACUAGUAUAGGAGGUUCUUGUUAGAGUUAUUCCUACAUCAUGUUAGGAGCUUAAUAUUUGUACUGGGGCUCAAUCCAUGUGUAUCGAGAGUGAGUACUAAGAGAUUCCACCGUGUGAAAUAGCUUGCAAAAAUCAGCAACAUUUACUGACUUUGAUCUUGCUGAUAAUAGGACAGGCAAGCUAAUUGAAACAUCCUGCUAGAUCAUGCAUCAAAAUAGCACAGAAAUGCACAGAAGAGAGCCGCCUAUAGGAAAUAAUGGAACUUUAAGAAUACUGCCACGCACACUAGUCAAGAAUACCACUUCCCCUCUGCUUAAUGUAUGAUUAAUGUGCUUCCGCAAUGAAAGAAGCAGAUAAAAGACAUUCUACAUACACAGUAGCAGUAGGAGAAUAUAGUCAAACGCUUUUUAGAUAUAAAAUGCAAGAGAAAUCAAUAGAACCAUUGGGGAGACAGGGUGAGUAGGUUAAGUUCUAUUAUGCAUUCAUCUGUAAAGUUUAAGAGAAAUUUACAGAUGUAAGUGUGGGUUUAUAGUGUCUACAGAUUUUAAGUUUUGGGUUGAGACAGGGUGAGUACUGAAUCUUUCCCCAAUCUGGUUGACCUUGCUGUGUUUGAACUGGUGCAUGAAGCUUGUAAUGGAGGGCAUGCUUUGCACCAUAAUGUGCGAUUCCCUUAUAUGCUAUAAUGAUGCAAUACAAUGUGUUUUUUACAUUGGAAUUUUGUUCUAUCACUAGAUCUUUUAUUGGCUUUGGUCACGACAUAAUAUUGUCUUUCUGAGCAGAGACCAGCGACACACUUAAACUCCAUCUCAAGGACAUUGGGUUAGAAUUUUCUUGGCAAAAAUUGCACUUGCAUCUGGAGUUUUAGCUUUCCUCUAGCUCUACACCUGUAUCCAAGGGUAUGUCUCUUUUAAUCAGGUUCAGUAAUGGCAUUUCCAAGUCUUGGUUGAAAGCAAUUCUUUGCUGUUCAUCCUUCCCUGGAUUUAUAGAAGAUUGGUGUACAGCCAUUUAUCAAACUUUCGAUGUCUUGUCUCUUCUAUUUGUCUCAGCAAAUAUCUCUUCCUUUAGGAAAGAGUGAGAAAGAUUAUAGUUACAUAAUUAUUUUCUUGUAAUUUUUGCAGGCUAAUGAUAAUUUGCACCCAGAAUUGGAGGAAGAUGUUCGAGAGGAAUGUGUGAAACUUGGCCUGUGGAUUCCGUAAAGGGAAAAUUUAGAGCUCUAUCGCCGUUUUGCCAAGAGUCAAGCACCUCCAGUAGAGGUAACCAGAACCAAUGCUGCCGUUCCUGAUGCAACAUCUGAAGUUUUGAGUGAUGAACAGCUCGCUUUGUUAGUCCACACGUUAUGGGUAUUGAGUGGGCUGAUGGAACUCCUAUGAGAUAUCAAUAUGAAGAUUUGUGUGAAAAAGAUUGAGGGCUUGUGGUUUUGUUGCUGCAGUGUAUGGUAGUAAUUCAAUUCGCAAUUAGGGGGUAGUUGAUGACUAUGGAAACAUGACUGUUGCAUUUACUGUGAGGCCAAACUCAAAGCUUGCAUGUUCUUCUCGAUUGUGGGUCGGGGGUCCUGGGAUACUGAUCUUGAUUGCUGAUUCAUGGAAUAAAUUCUCAGUUAAAUCAGAGUUUAGAACAUUUAAAAUUAGUCCAGUUGGAGCUGUGUGCUUAUCUGGUGUGGGUCUUUUUUUUCGUGGAUUGGACCGCGGGACAUAUUGCAUAGCAGUCGGCUAGUUCAGGUCUUUAAAAGGGAGAAAAUUUUGCAAGAUAGCAUUUUUGGUUGUCCAAGCAUAUAUAAGCAAGAAAUCCCAAUUACCAAGAGCUUCGUCCAUAUUCAAUGGUAUCGAUUCUGCCAUUAGACUAGCAUUCAGGAGCUCGCAUUUAGCUUGAUACGUGUUGAGCGAUUUUCUAAAUGGUAAUACCUAGUUGAAAAACAAGCAAAACAAAAUGAGCGAUAUUCUUAAUUAAGUAUUUGGACUUUACAAAGACGCAGAAAAACAAAAAAUAAAAAAAUGACUAAGUGUAACUCGUAUUGGGUUAAAAAUGCUUACAUUUUAAAUGGAACAAAUAGAAAAAAGAAAAUCCAAGACUGGAUGGGUUAGGUACCCACUAUAAAAAUAAUGACAUUUUAAAUGAAAAAAAAAAAAAAGAGAGGAAAACACAUAAACCCGACCCGACCCGAAUUUCCGAUGCAAGUCUAAUGUGUUUCGGGUCGGGUCGGGUCGGGUAACAUCAAAACCCGACCCGACCCAACCCGUUUGAUCCUGCCUAGCUUUGUAUAGGACCCAAAACCUAGAUAUGUAAGAAAUAUUGAUACUAUAUAUAUACAAAAUAUAUAUUAUGGAAUAGAAAGAAAUUCGAUAUAUAUUGUUAUUUUAAAAUUUUCAUUAUAUAUUAGAAUAAAAAUAUUAUUUAUAUUUAAUUUUCAUUAAUUUAAAAAGUUUGUUAUUUGAGAAAAAUAGUUUUUGUACCAUAAGUAUAAGAAAUUCUAUCUACCUUCCUCAUACUUUCUAUAGGAAAAUUUCAUCUUGACUAUGUUUUUAUAUAUCCAACUUUAUUCUAUCUUAAUACACUAAAUACGAUACAUUACACUAUCCUAUCUUGAUUUUUUAAUUAGGCUCAUUCAAUUAUCGGUCAAUCGUAAGAUUGAGCAUUCAGAACUAACUUUUCUACCGAGUGCAAUGGCCAUCUGAUUCUUGGGGUAGCUUCUACUAUAUAUAGCCCAGACUUGAGUCUCUCUUCGCUUGGAGCGAAAAAGGUGUAAGUCCUCUGGCUUGGCCACAGCGGAUGAUGGAUAUCUUGGCCACAGGGUCAUAUUCAUUAUUCAGGCAUCAGUGCACCUACUAAAGCAUGCUCAGCCACUUGCAAAAUUCUCAUCAUACGGUCAACAGCCAUAGCUACAUUACACCGGACGUAUAUACCAUGCAUGAUAAGCAACCAACUUCUUCUUUUCAGAUGAGACAACGGCAUUUUUCUUCUCUGGUCCGGCCAUGAUUCUCUCCAGAACAUUGGAUAUCUCACGUUUAGCCACGUCUCCAGUUCACAUGUGCUCUGGCGUUUAGCCCCGUCUCCAGACGAAGCAUCUAAGCUAACCAGAGGCUGCCACCUCCAACUUCCUGGGAUCGUAGAUGAUAUCCAAACAGGAGUCUCCAGGUGGGCAUCCCUACCCGAGUCAACCUGAUGAGGAACUUCCAAGUAUCAUUGACUAUCCACAAACAUAUGUACCUGUAUAUUAUGAAAACCAUAUACAAUAUGAAGCAUAAGAAGAAAGACGGUCUUGUAUGGCAUCCGCCAUAUAAGAGAAGAUAAAUACGACUUAAAAGCAGCAAACAUGCAAUAUGACUUUGCCAUCACCUGUCUUCCUUGAUCAAUAUCACUACAUAUCUUUGGAGCAAAAAAUAUGGUAUUGGAUGUCGAAACCUUAUUCUCAUUAGAUGAAGAAGACCCAUCCCAAAUAAGUUAUAGUCAACCUGCCAUUAAUUAACCUCAAGUGCAUCAAGAAACACACAUAUGAAAGAUAGCAAGUCUGGGCAUGAGGGCACUAAUGACCCAUCCUUGCAAACUCACCCACUAUAGAACCAGAGAAAGGCAAAUUUGGAUAAGAUAGAAAGACAAACUGAUGUCGAGCAGAUAGGGAAUAUGCGAUUCAUGCGGCUGCAAACUUCUGUCAAAUACUGCCCCUCCCUAGAAAAUGAUGUUGGACCAUGAAUAAAAAAGAAAUAGACAAACAAGAUGACUAUAGGCACGUGUAUUGCAUGACACAUUUUUUUUUUGUCAAAACAUAUAUAUUUAUUACAAGCUUUUUUUACAAGAAAACCUUCCUCAUAGAAGAUAACCUUUUUGGAACAAAUCCAAAUACCAUCCCAAUUUUCAUGCACAUACCAAUUUUCAUCCACUACUUUUAAAACCACCAAUUCAAGAGUGUUGUUAAUAUUGAGAUGGGGGAGGGGGAGGGAGAGAGAGAGAGAGAGAGACUGGCAAUAGAGGUUUAAGACAGCUAGAGCGCAGCCAAAGAUGGCAACUGGUGGCUGUGAAGCCUUUGAGUGGUGUGAUUGGUGGAGAUGAUUAGGUUCGGGUUUAGAAUUUGGAAAUGAUUUUGGGAUCUUUUCUAAAGUUUGUUGAAGGAAGGGCAAUUUGGUCUUUGGACUAUGCAGUUUGGGCCUAAGAUGCAAUUUGCGAAUUUCAAAAUUCAAGUAUGUAAAGUGAUUUUUGCGUGAAAUCUUAGCCUGGUAUUCAGAAGUUUGCCUUUUUUUUUUUACCAAAACUAAUAUCUCAAUUUACAAGGUUUUCUUUCGAGAAAACUUCCUUGCAUCUCAGAAAAUGUUCAACAGAACAAACUCCAAUGGCCGCAUUAAAUGACUAGUGGACUUCCACUAAUACAUUUAUAUUACUCUGUCAAAGAACAAAAUAUAUGCUAAUUUUCUCAGGCCUCUCAAUAAAUCAAAACUUAAUUGCCAAAUUUUCGCCCAUAUAUUUCUGGGAUGCCCCAAAUAAUAUAUGAAUAGCAAAUGCUUUCUUUUUAUCAUAAAACAAAAAUUUAGUUAUCAGGCAUGCACACUCCAGAUCGAAACAAUGAAUACACUUGAAGGCAUGCAAUUGAAGAAGCCAAAGAUGACAAGUACCAAAUCUAGAGCAAAAUGGUGAAAACUCUUUAGUAUUCCAAAGCAAGACCAAUUCCAAUGAGGCACUAUUGAUAGAGAAAGAAGAAUACCAAAAGAAGCUUGGCAGCACGUGAGACAUCAUGUGGAUGAUAGCUAAAGCUUCAGUCAAGGUGCCACAAAGAUGUUGCUAUGGAAUAUUCAGGCAGAAAAAUAUAGAUACACAAGCUGUCAUUUAUGGAUACAGGUAUAUCUUGACAAACAGCUCUUCAGAUGCAUGAUAACCAUAAAAUCUCCUUGCUCGUACAAGGCUGCAACCAUGCACGUGUUGCCGUUUUACGCCAGUAUUGCCUUUGAGCUGCAGUAAAUCACAAAACAAUCCUUUCAGAUACAUACUAGCAAGUGGAUCGCACAAUAAGUUAAAGCCAGGACUUAAUACUUUUGAAGAAUGACAAAUUAUACCUUCAACGCUUUCUCCAUGGCUAGAGAGACCCCCUGUGCAAUUCAACAGUGACCAAUUAAUUCCAUGCUAGUAGCAGAACAGUAAGAGACUAGUUUAAAAAGGGACAUGAAUUCGAAAUAUAUAAAAGCACGAAUAAUUCAAACAAAUUGAGAUAAAGUCUACAGCAACGUUAUAUUACGAGGACAUUGACAAAAACCGGUCAAGUAAAACCACAGCCAUUUUGCCAAAAGAACAAAUCACCCUGAAAACACACAAGCUACAUGCUAGAGGUAUUGUGAACUGAGAGAAACGUUGAUUAAUUUCUUCAAACCAGGAUAUGCACAAAGCAGCCCAUGCAUCUGUAACACGCACAAGUACCUUCAGAUGUUGGAUGGAUAGGUAUAUCUGUACAUGGUACAUACAAAUAGGGUAAAGCCUACAAGAAAAAAAAAAACAUGAUUUAGAACCAGUAUGAAAAAAAUGUACAAGAUAUUGCUGUCUCAUAAGCUAUGCCAUGGACAAGCAUCAUGUACUUUUCACAAUAGAUUGCUUGGAGCCACGUAAGCUCCUCAUUUGCUAUUUAGACAUUCAACUAGUGUCCAGCCAGUCAAAGAAAGUAGACUGUUGCCAAUAUGGUGCCUCUUGCGAGCAGAAAGGGAAAGAAACUUUCUGCAUCCUGAAAUUGCCUUUUAUCUUGAAGCAAUACCUCAACUCAAGUCUGUAAACCCAUGCUGGUUUAAAUUCUUCAUCGACAGAAAGGAAGUUACUUUCAUUGCUCCACAGCUCAAGGGGGGUAAAGCAAGUACUUGGAACAAUUAAAAAACUACAAAUAAACAAGGACUACACUCACCUUAUGCACAUGUAAGCAAGUUUUUGACCAGCAGGAGUUGAACCAUCUACUCUUAUUACAGGAACCUCAUUCACUUUUUCACCUUCAUCAAUCAAUCAUGAACAAGAUUAUGAACAUACAAAAGUAAAUAUUUGUAGCUAAAUUUCUAGCUACUGUAUAGUAAAUGUAACUGUUAUUUUUGCAGGUUAAAGGUCAAAUCCUCGCACAGAAUUUUAAAGAUUGACAUGGCACUACGCCACAUAAAAACUGUAAGUGCACCUUCUUCUCUUUGCAUCAGCAACAAAAAAGCAAAUUUCAAAUACGUCAUCAUCAAGACAACUACGCUCUCCAAACAAAAAGUAAUCUUCAGUCUAGGGAAGAAGACGGUGAGUUGAACAAUGCCCACCAAAUAUUAAGAAAAAUAUUCAAUACUCUCUGGAUUUUCUAAGCAACCAAACCAAUCAUGUAAUAAAUUAUGAAGACACCAAUGUGCUGAUUCCAUGACUCUGUGCUACAAUUUUAAUCAAUCUUUACGUAUAUCCAUGCCAAGCAAUUACUUAACAUCAAUCCAGCAGCCCCAACAAGAAGUCCGAAUAAGACAUCCACGGACAAACUGAUAAGUUCUUCAUAACAGAACACUAAGCCAAACAUAAUCCUUGCACUCAUAAGAAAGCAAACAGACUUUUGUCUGCAAUGCAGUAACUGAUUAAGUCCUACUAUAGCAAACAAAAUUAACAGCUUCCAGAUUCAAACCACAAGCUUCUCUGGCAUUUCCUACUCACCACUAGAUUCCAUAAUCAAAGAAGCGAACAUAAAAAUUAUGCUUCGAAAGAUGAGAGCAGAUUUUCAUUCUUUUUUUUACCGAAGACGCUUUACAUACAUUUUAUUACAAUAAAAACAUAGAAUAACUUCAAAAGCAUCGCUGUUCCUAGGAGAAGACAACAUCAAGACCCAUUCUAAGACUCCAAUUAAGCCACAGCUCCAGGAAGCAGCAAGACCCAACAACAUUACUGCGUGGCAACUACCUAUUACCAUCACGGGCACAGUAAAAAAACGAGUCUUUCCAUCUGUUUUCGUGCUUCCCCUAAUGCCCAUAUUCCACAGUCUCAUUCUUUUCUACUAAAGACACGUUAGAUACAAAUUAUUACUAUGAAAACAUAGAAUAACUUCAAAAGCACCGCUGUUCCUAGGAGAAGACAACGUCAAGACCCAUUCUAAGACACCAAUUCAGCCACAGCUCCAUGAAACGGCGAGACCCAACAAAGUUCCCACCCGCGGCUACCUGUUGGGUAUAACGGAUCCCCAAAAACCGGAUUCGACACUAAAUCGAACCCCUAAACCAAUGCGGAAGACGAGCCCGAGAAAAACAACACGUAUCACCGAUCCUAAAGCACACCACGGAUUCGAGCGUACCUUUUAAGCCACAGAUUAAACACCGACGCCGAUAGAGGAAGAGAAACUUGGCCCUGCUCGAUCCGAUGAAACAAAUUCGCCUUUGCGCUUCACCGUUUUCUUUUUGGGAGAGAACAAGAGAGAGAGAGCGUGAGAGGAAAAAGACGUACGUUCGUUUUGUUCCAACAAGUGUCUUCUCUCUCUCUCUCCUCCCUUUUAUACGUCCCUCCAUCCACGGGCCCUAUUCCCGUGGGCCGGGCUUUUUGGGUCCAACUUGGGCGAAUGGGCCUUAAGCCCAUCGCUAAUAAAACCAUCAUCUUCCACUCGCACAUGGUGGGCCGAACAUGAUUCUCUUUACCUCUCUUCAACAUUCAUACCGGUGAAUAAUCCAUGCGACCAGCAUAUUUUGAGAGCUCGUUGCUAUACAUCUGUUAGAAAUAUAUAGCAGCUCAUAAUGGGCGUCAUGCUUUGAGUAGAUUUAAUAUGCAGUACCCUAAAUCGAUUGAUCACAUUAAUAUCUCUCUUGAUCUCUUUUAUACAAUGAUAUAUAUAUAUAUAUAUAUAUAUAUAUAUAUAUUGUAUUCACAAUUAUAAUUAUCACAAAGACAGUCAUAAUUGGUCGACCAGUGAAUACAAAACUACAAUUUGAUUCUGCAAAAUCGAUCUUCCUCUUUCCUUCAAACUCUCAAUUUCAGUUCAGCUUGCUUUUCUAGAAAUGUCCCAUUAGAUCGAAUCAACUCAUGACCAUUGGCAACAACCUAAGAUAGCAAACACUAAAUAGAAAUCUUGAGAAUAAGUAAGAGUCAUGAGGGGACUUAAAUUGAGGAACUCUUUUCCUCAAGAGUCUCACACGUCAUAAAAGUUGAGAUCAAACUUUUUGCCACUCUUAUUGGUCGUCUCAUGCAUAUAUAGUAUGAAAUACGUAUUACAGUAUUAACUCCUUUCUCAUGGAGCGUAUGUCUACAUUUUUCAAUACCGUACAGAUGAUAGUUCAGACAUACCCAAUGUCUAACUUGAGUUCACGUACCUACUCAUUCACAAAAUUCAACAGAACUCACAUCUGGCAUCUUAGACAGAUAAACUAAAAUAUGUGGGGUAUUUUACUUUCGGACAUCACAAGCAUUAUGUCCUCAUCUUAACACUUAGUUAAGGCGACAUGCGUAUUUUAAGCUUGAGCUCUCGAUUAUCACAUAGAUAAUAAGCUUAAAUACAGUCUCAUCUCUAUUUAUCACACAGUAAAUAGAGGCGAUUACCCGUGCGAGUGGGCUAAUCUUUUAUCUGUCCGACAUACUUCCUCAACUUAUAAUAAUACACUGAGUAUUAAGAUGCAUAAAGAUCAUACAAGAUUCAUAGGCAUUAAUCAAUGAAGAAACAAAAUUUCAUAUAUGUGAACAACUCAGGGAAAUUACAAUUCAGUACAUUAGACUCUACGCAAUCCUAGAGAUUUUACAUGACCACAAAACACAUCUCUAGGUAUUGGCUUUGUCAUAGGAUCUGCUACCAUUCUAUGCGUAGAUAUGUACUGUAAGUUCACAUCCUUUCAUGCAACUAUAUAUUUUACAAAGUUAUACUUGGUAUCUAUAUGUUUGGUCUUGCCAUGAUACUUUGGAUCUUUGGUAAUAAUUGAUUUGUAGCUUUCUCAAUAACACCUAAAUGAUUCAAGAAUCUCUUAAGCCAAACUCAUUCUUAUACCGCUGCUGUAAUGUCAUGAACUCAGCUUCCAUCGUGGAUAAGGCUAUGCACGUUUGUUUCUUACUACUCCAUGAUAUGGCGCCAUUGUUCAGUAAGAAAGCAAAUCCUGAGGUAGAUUUUCUUUCAUCUAAAUCUCCUCCCCAAUCAGCAUCUGAAUAGCCUUCAAGUCGUAGAUCAUUUCCUUGGUAAUUCAACUUGUAAUCAGCAGUUCCCUUCAGAUACCUCAGUAUUCUCUUAACGGCUUUCCAAUGUGCUAGAUCUGGAUUGGAUUGAUAUCUACUCACCAUUCCAACUGCAAAACAUAUGUCGAGUCUUGUACACAUCAUAGCGUACAUCAAGCUCCCAACAUCACUAGCAUAAAGAAAGUGUUUCAUUUGUUCCUUCUCUUGUGGAGUCUCUGGACACAGUUUAUGGCUCAAUCCUUCACCUUUUGCAAUAGGAGUGUCUAUGUGUUUACAAUCUUGCAUACGAAAUCGUUUAAGAACCUUAUUUAUAUAUGUUUCUUGUGAAAGAGACAACGAUCUCUUCAAAUCUUUACUCCAAGAAUGUAUGCAGCUUCACCCAUGUCCUUCAUCUCAAAGUUGGAAGACAACCAACUCUUGACAGUAUUAACAAACUCCAUAUUGCUUCCGGCAAUCAGUAUAUCAUCAACAUAUAAUGAUAUGAUCACAAAUUGAUCAUUGGAUCUUUUGAUAUAUACACAAUGAUCCUCAUCAAUCAUUAUAAAAUCAUAUGCCAUUAUGGCAUUAUGAAAACGUAUAUACCAUUGUCUCGAUGACUGCUUAAGGCCGUAUAUCGAUCUCAAAAGUCGACAUACCUUUUCUUCUUGGCCUUUCACUAUGAAACCAGCAGGUUGUUCCAUAUAUAUUUCUUCCUUUAAUUCUCCAUUGAGGAAAGCAGUCUUUACAUCCAUAUGAUGUAACUCAAGAUCCAUGCUAGCUACUAUUGCCAGAAUAAUGCGAAUCGAGGUAAAUCUCACUACAGGAGAAAAUGUAUCUUCAUAAUCAAUUCCUUCCUGUUGAUUAUACCCCUUCGCCACAAGGUGAGCCUUAUGCCUUUCUAUCGAGCCAUUAGCCUUUCGCUUUAUUUUGAGAACCCACUUGUUCCCAAUAGCUAUGCGUCCUUUUGGAAGAUCAACCAGUUCCCAGACUUGGUUUGAUUUCAUUGACUCCAUUUCCUCUUCCAUUGCAUGAAUCCAUUUUUCCUUACUAGGGCAAUUCAGAGCCUCAUUAAUAUUUCUUGGCUCAUCCUCAUCUUGUGGAGCAACCAUAAAAGUUUCCCCUUCAAUGCCAAAAUGUCGAUGGGGAAUACUUUGGCGACUUGUUCGCCGUAUGGGAGAUUGUACACUUUGCACAUCAUUCCCUAUCAUGCUCCCACUUGGAUUAGGUAAUGAUGAUGUCAUCUCAUCAUGUGGUUGCAAUUGAGAAUGAGUUGAAUUCAAUUCAUCACUUCUCAUAUUACUCCCACUUGGACGAACUCCACUAACAUCAUUAUCCUAAUCCAAGGUCUCAAAUAGGGAACAAUCUUGUGGAGCAACCAUAAAAGUUUCCCCUUCAAUGCCAAAAUGUCGAUGGGGAAUACUUUGGCGACUUGUUCGCCGUAUGGGAGAUUGUACACUUUGCACAUCAUUCCCUAUCAUGCUCCCACUUAGAUUAGGUAAUGAUGAUGUCAUCUCAUCAUGUGGUUGCAAUUGAGAAUGAGUUGAAUUCAAUUCAUCACUUCUCAUAUUACUCCCACUUGGACGAACUCCACUAACAUCAUUAUCCUAAUCCAAGGUCUCAAAUAGGGAACAAUCUUCCCCUACUUCGCCCUUCUUAGGAAAUUCAUCAUCUAAGAAUGUGACAUCUCGUGAUUCAAAUUCAGUUAUACUUCCAUUUUCCUGCUCACUUAUGAACACAUACUCUUUUGAGUGUUCUGAGUACCUUAUGAAAAUACUCUUCUUUCCUCUGGGACCCAAUUUCCCAAACUUAUGAGAGGACUCAUGUGUAUAGGCAGCACAACCCCAUGGCUUAAGAAAACUUAAGUCCGGUUUUCUACCUAUCCAUAACCCAUAUAGAGUGGAAGUAACUAAUUUGGAAGGCACAUGGUUAAGUAUAUACGCAGUAGUUAACAACGCAUCACUCCAAAAGGUAAUAGGUAAGUUAGCAUGCGCCAUCAUGGACCUAAACAUUUCCAGUAGGGUUCUGUUUCUUCUCUCUGUAACACCAUUUUGUUGAGGAGUAUAUGGAAUAGACAACUGUCUUUCUAUUCCUUUUUCAUCACAUAAUUUUCUAAACUCAUCAGAUAAAUAUUCUCGACCUCGAUCAGAUCUCAAUACUUUUAUUUUCUUGUCUAAUUGAUUCUCUACCAGGUUCAUAAACCUUUUGAAACAACUUAUUGCUUCAGAUUUAUGAGAAAUCAAAUAGACUUAUCCGAAUCGAGUAUAAUCAUCUAUAAAAGUGAUGAAAUAAACAGCCCCAUGCCUUCCUCUCACAUUCAUUAGACCACAGACAUCAGAAUGGAUUAAAUGCAGAGGAAAUUAAGCUCUUUUACCUUUUCCAAAUGGUUUCCUUAUCGUUUUCCCUUCUAGGCAAUGCUUAUAUAUGGGCAAAUCAACUUUUUCAAUAUUGCCCAACAAGCCCUCUUUGGCUAGUCUAUUCAUACGCUGUUGGCUAAUGUGACCAAGUCUAGCAUGCCACACAUUCACAUCAUUAUCAUAUGUAUUAGGAGACGUGAGAAGGGAAUAACAAACAUUUGCAUUAACAUAAUCAAUAUCUAAUACAAUGAAACCAUCCAGAAAAUAACCACAACCAUAGUAAUUUGUAUCCAAAAACAAAUUGACACCUCUAUUAUAGAAGUUCAUAUUAAAACCUAAUUUAACCAACACUAAAACAGACAUUAAAUUCCGACAAAUCUCUAGAGCAUACAACACAUCAUGUAGGAACAAAGUGCGUCCACCACGCAUAUUCAGUUGGCAUGUGCCAAUUCCUUUCACUUCAGCUCUGGAGUUGUUUCCCACAUAGAUCCACUUAGUUCCAGUUGGUACUCGUCGAAAUUCCAUGAAGGAUCCUCUAUCCUUCGCUACAUGGUCUGUCGCUCCUAAAUCUACAGUCCACAAAGGAUUGGAUUCAGCUAAAAACACAGAACUCGACACAAAAGUAAAGUUCUGAAAAGUACAAGGGGUGCAUACCUUCUUUGGCUCACGACAGUCGCGAGCAUAGUGACCCUUCUUGUCAUAGUUGUAGCAUUUCACCCUUGCAAGCUUUUUCAUGCGAGGACGCUUUCCUCUUCCAUGUUGGUUAAACUUGGGUUUCUUCCCUGAAGGACCUUCUUCCUUACCUUUCCCUUUAUCAAGCCAGUUAGAACGUUUGCGCUUGGAGCUCAAAGCUCCAUUUGAGGUAGAACUAGCAUGAUAGAGUUCAGCAUCCGUCUUAGCCGCCAAGAGGCGGUCCUCUUCCAGCUCAAGAUGGCGCACUGCAUCCUCAAAAGUUUUGAUAUUUUCAUUAUGGGUCAGGUGCACCUUCAUAUGCUCCCAACUCUGAGGCAAGGAACGAAUCACUGCUUGCACGCCGUGACUGAUGGUGGGCCCACGUGUAAUACGUUUGGCAAAAUGAAUGGAUUAAUUUUUUGCUAAAUUGACAUCAGACUUGACCAUGAGGCUUCUUAUAGGAGUCAAACCUAAUAGUGAGCUGUUUUAGUCUGGUCACCGAAGUAUGACCAAAUCUAGCUGCCAAUGCCUCCCACAUUUCCUUGGCAUUGUCAAAACGCCUAAACUCUCGAAUGACGUCAUUUUCCAUGCUGCUCAGCAACGUGAUGCGAGCAAGAGAGUUCUUUCUUUUNNNNNNNNNNNNNNNNNNNNNNNNNNNNNNNNNNNNNNNNNNNNNNNNNNNNNNNNNNNNNNNNNNNNNNNNNNNNNNNNNNNNNNNNNNNNNNNNNNNNNNNNNNNNNNNNNNGAUUUUCAUGUGCCAUAUUUCAUAGUUGUCACCAUUGAGCUUUUCACCUUUGUUCAGCUCGGCAACUAUGCUCUUUGUGGCUGAAGCCAUUGAUCUGAACACAUCAGACAUAUAUGCACGAAUUAUUAAUGCCUAUCAUUUAUGCAUCUCUAUUUGCAUAGACCCAUCAUAUUAAUGAAUAAUUUCAAGUAAGACUUCAGAAUCAAAAGGUCACUAAGUUUCCAAUCAUCCUCCAAAAUCCUAAUUUAAAACUAUCAUUAAUAUAAUUGUCUUAUGCAAAAUAAAUUCUAUGAAGUUACAAAAACUUCUAUAACUACCCACAGCUAAUUACCCACAGCAACCAGCAAUAACAGAAAGCAACAGAUAAUUGACAUCAAAUAAAACAAUAAUGCUUUCAACUAAUACAACCAAGAUAUUGGUUGUUAUAUCAAUAACAAUCAGGUAGUAAACAUUACAUAAUAUGUCCACAAAGCACACUUAACAAAAAUCAGCCAAUACAACUAACACAAAGUCAGCACACGAACUGGGAAAGAUCCUCUUUUGUUCAAUUUCUUGAUCUUUUCCCUUGUAAUAAUCCAGUAAUAUUAAUUUACAAAAUCCAUUAUAAUUUUCUUAUAAGAAGCAGAUCCGUUGACAUCCCAUAUGCGAUUCAACACAUCUUGCCAUUUAGGUGGAAGAGUGUUCAUGAAGAAUCGCACAAUUUCUAACUGUGGCAUAGGAUGACCAUUCCAUAUGACAUUUUGAAUUUUCCCGUUGACUUCAAGGACGUGAUCAAUUAAGUCACCACUCUCCCAUCGAUGAUCAGUCAGCUCAGCUAUCAACUUAGACAGCCUUUCCUUUUGUUCAUCGGUAAUUGUACGAAUAGGUGUGCGCAACCUGAGGGGAGGCAUUUUUCCUGCAACAAAUGCAGAAAUGUUCCUGCAACAAAUGCAGAAUAAAUAAGGGAUCACAAAUAAUCCACAUAGACUUAAUUGAAAAAAGAAACACAUUCUUUUCCCUCUUUUUUUUUUUUCAACGGUCAACGGUCGGGUCGUCGGUCGUCGGACCGGUCGGACCGGACAGACCGGUCGGACCGGUUGUGCCGGUCGGGCCGGUUCAGGCGAAUCGAUCGCACGUGCUGCGCGCGUGCGCAGCUGAUGUCACGCAUACAUCAGCUGGCGCGCGUGUGCCGGGCGUUCGCGGUUCGGGUCGGGUCGCCUCGCCGGUCGGGUCGCCGGCCGGUGAUCGCCCGGCCAAUUGUCGUCGUUGCUGACGUCAUCGAUGAUGUCACCCCAGCAGCUACUGACCGUUGGGUGACGUCAUGCUGACGUUAGCACGCGUCGGUCUGCCAACCGGCGUGUGUCGGUUCGCCUCCGACGUUGCGCACGUGCUGGUUCACAGAUCGGCGCGUGGCGCCCACGCGUAAUGGCUUCUGGCCACGCGUGUGGGCGCGUGCGGCGUCAUCCGGCGGUGCACGACAUGUCGCCGGACUCGUCUAGACGAGCCCUUUCACCUUAUGCCAUCAUAAUUCGAUUUCGACUUACAGAAAGUCGAGAAAACGGACGAACAUCGUUCGGGUGUCGGGAUUUUGCGCCCCGAUCCGUGUCGGCCGAAUUACUUCGCGAAAAAAAAUCAGAAAACACGAAAAAGGGUCGGGAAGACAUGAACUAGGGCUCUGAUACCAAUGUUGGGUAUAAUGGAUCACCAAAAACCGGAUUCGACACUAAAUCGAACCCCUAAACCAAUGCGGAAGACGAGCCUGGGAAAAACAACACGUAUCACCGAUCCUAAAGUACACCACGGAUUCGAGCGUGCCUUUUAAGCCAUAGAUUAAACACCGACGCUGAUAGAGGAAGAGAAACUUGGCCCUAUUCGAUCCGAUAAAGCAAAUUCGCCUUUGCGCUUCAUUGUUUUCUUUUUGGGAGAGAACGAGAGAGAGAGCAUGAGAGGAAAAAGACGUACGUUCGUUUUGUUCCAACAUGUCUUCUCUCUCUCUCCUCCCUUUUAUACGUCCCUCCACCCACGGGCCCUAUUCCCGUGGGCCGGGCUUUUUGGGUCCAAUUUGGGCGGACGGGCCUUAAGCCCAUCGCUAAUAAAACCAUCACUACCUAUAACCAUCGUGGGCACAGAAAAAGAACGAGUCUUUUCCAUCUGUUUUCCCGCUUCCCCUCUGGGAGAAGACAAUAUCAAGACCCAUUCUAAGACACCAAUUCAGCCACAGCUCCAUGAAAUGGCAAGGCCCAACAACGUUCCCACGCCGCGACUAUACAUAACCGUUACGGGCACAGUUAAAAAACGAGUCCUUUCCAUUCUUCUCCAAGCUUUUUCUAAUUUUUUACCUCUCGCUUGCUCUCGUGCAGUGCAGUAACGGAACCCCGGAACAGGAAAAUGGAUCGAGAAAACUCUUUGGGCCGAUGAAUCAUUAUAAGUUACCUCGGAACAAUUAUUUUACUACUGUCAAAUAUAAUGAUAGAUUCCGACCAAAAGAAAAUUUUAAUGAUGGAUUCGGUCAAAAAAAUAUUUGAUGAUAGAAUAAAAAUUGGCUUUAAUCUAUCUUAUUAAUUGGUUUUAUAUACCAAGUAAAUGCUAACAACAAUGUUCAAUUAGAGAUAUUAGUUAUUAAUAACUCAGCAACCAAAUUACAAUUUUAUAACUUUCAAAUAGAUUAAAGAAAUAAGAGUAUUGGAAAUAUUAAAAUUUUCAAAAAGCACAAUUAAAUUAGAAAAUUUAUCAUAAAUGUAGAAUUGAGUUUUAAAAUUUUUAAAAAAUACAAUCAAGUCUUAAAAUGAAUUAAUGACUUUAAUAUGAAUUAAGAUUUGUGUAUCAAUCAAAUCAAAACUAGUUCAUAAAUUAAUUAAAGAAAAAUUGUGUAUCGCUUGAAUUAGGAUCUGUAAUUUCAUAAAAGAAUUAAUGACUUUAGCAUGUUGACAACUUGUACGACUAAAUAUUUUUAAAUUAUUAAAACGAACAAUUAUUUUGGAACAAUCAAACAAACCCCAGUAUUUUUUUAUGAAAAUUUCGGUACAAACAUGUCACAAGCCAGGUACGUCGCUGAUAUUUUUUUCAACAAAUUGUUACUAAACAAUAUUUUUGAACUUACUGAUAUGGAACGAUCAGUGGUCCUCACUUUACCAAAAAAAAAACAAUCAGUGGUCCUCAUGUUCUAUCUCUUGCUUCCAUGGAGGUUCUCGGAAAAGACAUUUUCUUAUCGGCUUUCGCUGUUCCGACAGCAACUCACCACCACUUUCGAGAAGAUAAUAAUUUAGUUGGACCUAAGCGUGGCAGGGGGGAAAAGCUAGUAUCUGUCAGCUUGCGUGCUGCUACGACAGGGCAUGAUUGGUUCUAUUGUAUUAUUUCGCAAGAGAAGUCAUCUGCGAGUUCUUUCUCUUUGCGCCUCUCUCUCUACCCUCCCUCUCUCUCUCCGACGAACAAGAUCGCGACCUCCCUCCCUCUCUGCCCUCCCUCUUUCCAAUCGGCAAACCACCGCACGGGACCGGCGAAUCACCGCGCCGCCCCUCCGGCUCCAGAUCCGGCCCCGACUCGUCCGUCCCUUGCUCUUUCUCUCCUCUGGCGUUUCUGUCUGCCCUCCCUCUCUUCAACGGUGAACCAGCGCGUGACCGGUGAACUAGUAUUUUCUCCUUGCGGAGAAGCAACGAAAAUAUCUUUGAAGUCUACAGCGAGGUAGUCUUACCAAUUUCGAGGAAGGAAGGUUUGUUUCGGUGGUCUUGGUCAAGAAGGUGAGGGUAAAAAAGCAGCACAAUUGCCGCGUGAAAAGACGAGCAAUCUUGUCGUGCCAUCCUCUCCACGGGAUUGCGCGUCUCCUUCGGGGCAAGAGGUUCGAAGUAAAAGCUUUAUUUAAAGUCCCGAGUGCUCGUGACCUAGUAGCAGAAACGCCAAUCACCGUAAGUCACUUGAGACGCUCGUCUUUCGCUUUGAGAUAUCUGGUUUUGAUAGCUCUAGAUUGAGGCGUGAAGGUGAUCUCAUAAUUGUGCUGCUUUUGAGGCUCGGACGCGACUUGAUGUGCUUUAAGGUGACUCCUUUUUAGACAUUAAAGUUCAUCCGAGUAAUUCCGGCUCUGCAUCACUCCUCCAGAUGAGCCGGAUAGUCUAUUACCUUUUGAUAGAAGAAAAUAAAAACAUUUGAUUAUUACUCAUUGCAUGCCAUCUAACAUCCUUAAAAGCAUGCACAAUAUAAUAUGUGACAUUCCAUCGACUUUUUCAAAAUCACGGUCGUCACAGUUAUUGCAGAUUUUUCUUACUACCUUCCCCUUAUUCAAACUGAUCAGUAUGAGCCCCUCUCUUGCAAAACGAUUCAAGGCUAUCAUCUACAGUCCUCACUCACUUUCUUUGUUCAUUUCCCUCGUAAAAGUUCUCGGCGAGGCUUGUUUAGGGUCUUCUCUCUCCGAACUCGCACCUCUCUUUGCAUCUCAGCGUGCAGAAGGUAAUCGCUUUUUCAUCUCUUAUUAGCGUGUCAUUUCUGUUGAUUUGUUGCGGCUGAACUAGCGUGUUUUGGGCUCUCUUUGUCUGAUGUGGGUGGCUGUUAACUUGGUGUGUCACCGGCUCAUAAUUGACUUCCGUAGAAAAGGGAAGCCUUUGCUUUCAGACCUUAGAUGUGACUAAUCAUGUGGCCUCUUGUCUCAUCGUUCGUUUGCAUCGUAACUUAGUGUCGAUCCUUUGUCGAGCUAGAAUGAGUUGGAAUGCGAGACGCGCUAGAUUCUAUUGCGCGCAAAAUUGACAGUAUUCGCCUCAAGCCAAGGACCGUCUUUUUACGGAUUGUGAGGUUUCUUUGUCCCUGAAGGUCUAAGGUCAAUUAAAUAAAAAAUGAAUUUACAAAAGAAAAAGUAGUAGGCCAGUUUACGGCAAGUUCCAAGAUCAGGGGAUUUCGAUUUUCAAUUCCGAAAAUUGAGAACAUGCUCUGAUAGGUAGGUUUCAGGGUUAUGGUCUGGAAUCAAUCAAUCACCCUUAAAAGCAAGUACUCUCUUAAUCAGAUUUUAUUCACAAUUUUUCCUUUGAUGAUUAUAGGACAUUCUAGAAGAAUAGUUUGUUGUCUUCCUUGAAUUAUUGGACAAGAUAAUCCUAAAAAGUAUAUUGCCUUUCACCUCUAACUCAUUUUCUUCCUUCAAAGUUUUGAAAAUCCUGAAAAAAAGGGUAAAAAAUGGUUGAAUGAGUAAUGAAGAGAAUAGUUCAGUGAUAAAAUGUCGAUCGAUUAUUCAAAUUUCAAAGUUUGAAGAGAAUAGCUCAGUGAUGUCAUAUUGGGUUAAAGUAGAUUCAUUUUGCAUGACAUUGCUAAUAUGUAAGGUCAACGGGGAACAAAUAAAAGAGAAAUAGCAAAGACCUUUUGUUCAUCUCUAUCUCAUUUCCAAAUUCAUUUAGAAUAUGACAAUUUGAAAUUAAAAUGUAAGAUCACAUUCCUAAUCACUAACAAGGCCCUUUCUUCAUAUCUUCCACACAUUUCCAAUUUCGUUUGAACUCAUUUAUCAGCUUUUAAAUGAUUUAUCAAACUAUGAUUUUUAAUAAUCAAACAAAAACAGGACCUUUGCUUAUUUAUUUUAAUGAAUGCAACUUGCUUGUACACAGAUUCUAGCUUUUUAUAGCCCAAGUAAGAAUUUAACAUCGUGAGCGGACCAAGCCAACAUCUUUCGACUUGACUAGAGGGUGAGAUACAAAAGAAGAUAAGGCAAGGACUAAAAGCAUCUGAAACUGCUUCUGUUCAAUCGAUUACAAAUUUAAUUAAAGAUUUUGAAAAAGUCUGUUCUUGCUUGGUAAAAAUAUUUUGGUGGGUCAAGACUUAUGGAUGAUUAUGUAUUUUUUUUUAAAUAAUCGUGUUUAAGCAUAAUUUUCGAGAGUUGGCUGGGGCAGGGUGUAGGGAAUAACGGAUCCCCGAAAACCGGAUUCGACACUAAAUCGAACUCCUAAAUCAAAUGCGGAAGACGAAGCCCGGGAAAACACGUAUCACCGAUCGUAAAGCACACCACGGAUUCGAGCGUACCUUGUUAGCCACAGAUUAAACACCAAUGCUGAAGAAGAGGAAGAAAUUCUGAUCCGAUGAUGUCAAUCGAAGGGACGACAGUGCCGUUUGCCUUACUGUCCUUUUUGGAGAGAGAGAGCGCGCGCGGGAGAGGGGAGAACGUACGUAACUUCUGUUUCCAACAGAUGCGUCCUCUCUAUCUCUCUCAUCCCUUUUAUACGUUCCCCCAUCCACGGGCCCUAUUCCCAUGGGCCGGGCCCUUUUGGGCCCAACUUGAGCGGAUGGGCCUUAAGCCCAUCUCAUAAAUCCAUCAUCUCCCACUCGCACAUGGUGGUCCAAAACCAACAUGGGCGGACAGGCCCUACCUAGCCCCAUCAGAGAAUAAUCCAUCAUAGACUCUUACUUAACAUGGUGGGCCGAACAGAAUCCUCUUUACCUCUCUUCAACAUUCAUACCGGUGAAUAAUCCGUGCGACCAGCAUACUUUGAGAGCUCAUUGCCAUACAUCUGUUAGGAAUAUAUAGCAGCUCAUAAUGGGCAUCACACUCCGAGUAGAUUUAGUAUGCAGUACCCUAGAUCGAUCGAUCACAUUUAUAUCUCUCUUGAUCUCUUUUAAACAAUGAUAUAUAUAUUGUAUUCACAAUUAUGAUUAUCAGAAAGACAGUCAUAAUUAGUUAACCGGUGAAUACAAAACUUCAAUGUGAUUCUCCAAAAUCGAUCUUCCUCUUUCCUUCAAACUCUCAAUUUCAGUCCAGCUUGCUUUUCUAGAAAUCCCCCAUUAGAUCGAAUCACUCAUGACCAUUGGCAACAUCCUAAGAUAGCAAACACUAAAUAGAAAUCUUGAGAAUAAGUAAGAGUCAUGAGGGGACUAAGAAAUUGAGAUCACACGACAUAAAAGUUGAGAUCAAACUUUUGCCAUUCUUAUUGGUCGUCUCAUGCAUACGUAGUAUGAAAUACGUAUUACGGUAUUAACUCCUUUCCCAUGGAGCGUAUGUCUACAUCUUCAAUAUCGUACAGAUGAUAGUUCAGACAUACCCAAUGUCUAACUUGAGUUCACGUAUCUACUCAUUCACAAAAUUCAUCAAAACUCACAUCUGGCAUCUUAGACAGAUAAAGUAAAACAUGUGGGGUAUUUUUACUUUCGGACAUAGUAAGUAUUAUGUCCUCAUCUUAACACUCAGUUAAGGCGACAUACGUGUUUUAAGCUUGAGCUCUCGAUUAUCACCUAGAUAAUAAGCUUAAAAACAGUCUCAUCUCUAUUUAUCACACAGUAAAUAGAGGCGAUUACCCGUGUGAGUGGGCUAAUCUUAUAUCUGUCCGACAUACUUCUCAACUUAAAGUAAUGCACUAAGCAUUAAGAUGCACAAAGAUCACACAUAGAUUCAUAGGCAUUAAUGAUGAAAACACAUGUUCAUCAAAUGUGAACACUUAGGGAAAUUACAAUAUUCAGUACAUCGGCCUCUACGCAAUCCUAGAGAUUUCACAUAGCCAGAAAACACAUCUCUAGGUAUUGACUUUGUCAUAGGAUCUGCUACCAAUCUUAUGCGUAGUAUGUACUAUUAGUUCACAUCAUUUUGUGUAACCAUAUUUUUAACAAAUUUAUACUUGGUAUCUACAUGUUUGGUCUUGCCUUGAUAUUUUGGAUCUUUGGUGUACGCUUUUGCUACUUGGCUAUCAUCGUUAACCAAUAACGAAUCUGCAGCACUUCCAAUAACACCUAAAUGAUCCAAAAAUCUCUUAAGCCAAACACCUUCUUAUACUGCUGCUGAUAAUGCCACGAACUCAGUUUCCAUCGUGGACAAGGCUAUACACAUUUGUUUCUUACUGCUCCAACAUAUGGUGUCAUUAUUCGGUAAGAAAACAAACCCAGAGAUAGAUUUUCUUUCAUCUAAAUCUCCUCCCCAAUCAGUAUUAGAAUAGCCUUUGAGCUGCAGAUCCUUUCCUUAAUAACUCAACAUAUAAUCAGCAGUCCCCUUUAGAUACCUUAGUAUUCUCUUAACGGCUUUCCAUUGUGCUGGACCUGGAUUGGAUUGGUAUCUACUCACCAUUCCAACUACAAAACAUAUGCCAGGUCUUGUACACAUCAUAGCGUACAUCAAGCUCCCAACAGCACUAGCAUAAGGAACAUGUUUCAUUUGUUCCUUCUCUUGUGGAGUCCUUGGACACAGUCUAUGGCUCAAUCCUUCACCCUUUGCAAUAGGAGUGUCUAUGGGUUUACAAUCUCAAAAUCUUAACUCCAAGAAUGUAUUCAACAUCACCCAUGUCUUUCAUCUCAUAGUUGGAAGACAAUCAACUCUUGACAGAAUUAACAAACUCCAUAUUGCUUCCGACAAUUAGUAUAUCAUCAACAUAUAAUGAUAUGAUCACAAAUUGAUCCUUGGAUCUUUUGAUAUAUACACAAUGAUCCUCAUCUAUCAUUGUAAAAUCAUAUGCCAUUAUGACAUUAUGAAAAAACGUAUAUAUAUCAUUGUCUUGACGACUGCUGAAGGCUAUAUAUCGACUUCAAAAGUCAACAUACAUUUUCUUCUUGGCCUUUCACUAUGAAACCAGCGGGUUGUUAUAUAUAUAUAUAUAUAUAUAUAUAUAUAUAUAUAUAUAUAUAUAUAUAUAUCUUCCUCCCAAUUCUCCAUUGAGGAAAACAGUCUUUUCAUCCAUCUGAUGUAACUCAAGAUCCAGACUAACCACUUUUGCCAGAAUAAUGUGAAUUGAGGUAAAUCUCACUACAGGAGAAAAUGUAUCCUCAUAAUCAAUUCCUUCCUGUUGAUCAUACCCCUUCGCCACAAGGUGAGCCUUAUGCCUUUCUAUCGAGCCAUCAGCCUUUCGCUUUAUUUUGAGAACCCAUUUGUUCCUAAUGGCUUUGUGUCCUUUUUGAAAAUCAACCAGUUCCCAGACUUGGUUUGAUUUCAUUGACUCCAUUUCCUCUUUCAUUACAUGAAUCCAUUUUUUCUUACUAGGGCAACUCAGAGCCUCAUUAAUAUUUCUUGGCUCAUCCUCAUCUUGUGGAGCAAUCAUAAAAGUUUCCCCUUCAAUGUCAAAACGUCGACCGGGAAUACUCUGGCGACUUGUUCGCCGUAUAGGAGAUUGUACACUUAGCACAUCAUUCCUAAUUAUGCUCCCACUCGGAUUAGAUAAUGACGAUGUCGUCUCAUCAUGUAGUUGCAAUUGAGAAUGAGUCGAAUUCAAUUCAUCACUUCUCAUAUUACUCCCACUUGGAUGAACUCCACUGACAUCAUUAUCUUGAUCCAAGGUUUCAAAUAAGAAGUAAUCUUCCUUUAUUUUGCCCUUCUUAGGAAAUUCAUCCACUAAGAAUGUGACAUCCCGUGAUUCAAAUUCAGUUAUACUCUCAUUUUCCUGCUCACCUAUGAACACAUACCCUUUCAAGUGUUCAAGAGUAUCUCAUGAAAAUACUAUUCUUUCCUUUUGGGACCCUAUUUUCCAAACUUGUGAGAGGAUUCAUGAGUACAGGCAGCACAACCCCAUGGCUUAAGAAAACUUAAGUCCGAUUUUCUACCUGUCCAUAACUCAUAUGGAGUGGAAAUAACUGAUUUGGAAGGCACCCGGUUAAGUACAUAGGCAGCAGUUAACAACGCAUCACACCAAAAAGUAAUAGGUAAGUUAGCAUGCGCCAUCAUGGACCUAACCAUUCCAGUAGGGUUCUGUUUCUUCUCUCCGCAACACCAUUUUGUUGAGGAGUAUAUGGAAUAGACAACUAUCUUUCUAUUCCUUUUUCAUCACUUAAUUUUCUGAACUCAUCAGAUAAAUAUUCUCGACCUCGAUCGGAUCUCAAUACUUUUAUUUUCUUGUCUAAUUGAUUUUCUGCAAGGUUCAUAAACCUUCUGAAACAACUUAUGCUUCAGAUUUAUGAGAAAUCAAAUAGACACAUCCGAAUGGAGUAUAAUCAUCUAUAAAAGUAAUGAAAUAAACAGCCCCAUGCCUUCCUCUCACAUUCAUUGAACCACAGACGUCAGAAUGAAUUAAAUGCAGAGGAAAUUCAGCUCUUUUACCUUUUCCAAAUGGUUUCCUUGUCGUUUUCCCUUCUAGGCAAUGCUUACAUAUGGGCAAAUCGACUUCUUCAAUGUUACCCAACAAGCCCUUUUUGGCUAGUCUUUUCAUAUGUUGCUGGCCCAUAUGACCAAGUCUAGCAUGCCACCAUAUUCAUAUCAUUAUCACAUGAAGCAGAAGACGUGAAACAAGAGAAUAACAAAUAUUGACAUCACCACAGUCAACAUUACAAUAAAACCAUCCAGAAAGUGACCACAACCAUAGUAGUUUGUAUCCAAAUACAAAUCUACACAUUUAUUACGGAAGUUCACACAAAAACCAAGCUUAACCAACAUCAAAACAGACACUUAAAUUUCGACGAAUCUCCGGAGCAUAUAGAUCAUCAUGUAGGAACAAGUUGCGUCCACCACGCAUGUUCAAUUGGCAGGUGCCAAUCUCUUUUAACUUCAUAUCUGGAGUUAUUUCCUACAUAGAUCCACUUAGUUCCAAUUGGUAUCGUCGGAAUUCCACGAAUGAUCCUCUAUCCUUCGCUACGUGGUCUGUCACUCCUGAAUCUACAGUCCACAAAGGAUUGGAUUCAGCCAAUAAUUCAGAACUUGAUACAUAAGCAAAGUUCUCAAAUGUACAAGAGGUGUAUACUUUUUUUAGCUCACGACAGUCGCGAGCAUAGUGACCUCUCUUGUCACAUUUGUAAUACCUCACCCUUGACAUUUUCUUUACUUGAGGACGUUUUCCUCUCUUGUGUUGGUUAACUCUUGAUUUCUUGCAAUAAGAACUUGAUCCUUUGUAUGCCCACAUAUUGAACGAAUCAAUACGCUUGCACUUAGAGCACAAAGCCCUUUCUGAGCUAGGACCAGCAUAGAAAAUAUCUAUUUUCGGCUCAAAUGCCGUUAGGCGGUCCUCAACUAGCUCAAGGUGGCGCACAACAUUUAUAAGAUCUUCCAUAAUAUGGUCAAGAGCUUCUAGUGCUUCUUGCUUUUCCAGCACAUAUUGAAUCCUCAUAUUUAAUAUUUCACAAUUGUUGCCGUUCAUAUCAGCAAUUACGUUCUUAAUUGCUGAAACCAUCGAUCUGAACACAUCAGACAUACAUGCACGAAUAAUUAAUGCCUAUCAUUUAUGCAUCCCUAUUUGCACAGACUCAUCAUAUUAAUAAAUAAUUUCAAGUAAGGUUUCAGAAUUAAAAGGUCACUACGUUUCCAAUCAUCCUCCAAAAUCCUAACUCAAAAUUAUUAUUAAUAUAAUUGUCUUAUGCAAAUACAUUCUAUGAAGUUACAAAAACUUCUAUAGCUACCCACAGCUAACUACCCACAGCAAUCAGCAGUAACAGAAAGCAAAUAAUAAUUUAUAUUCAACAGAAUAAUCAUACUUUCAACAUAAUACAACUAACAUAUUACACUAAGCAAUAUAUACAGAGGAAACAUAUCAUCAUGAAAAGAGAUAUUUACAUACAUAAAACAUCUCAUAAUUAAUCUAGGAAAUAAUUAGGGAAUGUCCCUUCUAAUCUAUCAGUCAUAACAUCUGAGAAAACUGAAGGCACAUUUGCCAACCAUGGAAAAAACUUUUGGAGAGCUUUCAUGUCGCCACCAAGGCGCAUUUACUCUGUGCCCUGUGACGCUUAAACUAAGGGUUGAGGUUUUGGUCAACUCAAUCCUAUAGUAUUCUCUUACAAAAGCUUCCACUAGCCUCCUAUAACCCGAGACCACGUUGACCUCCCAUAACCGAUCUAACACUGCUUGCCAUUCAGAUGGAAUAGUGUUCAUCAAAGCCAGCACAUUUUCAAAAUCCGGCAUAAGAUAACCAUUCCAGAUGAUUUCCUGUAUCAUCUAAUUAACCCUGACCACAUGUGAUACUAAAUCACCGUCAUGCCACCGAUAAUUAGCUAAAUCUGACAUCAGCCUUUUAAGCCUUGCAUUUCCCUCAUCCGUUCUCGGGAUUGCAGGUAUCCGUGCAUGACGCAUCAUAGUUCAUGCAACAAAUGCAGAACUAAAAAUGGAUCACUUAUAAUCCAUAAUUUUACAUAAGGAAAAUACAUAAUUUUUCAUAAUUCAUGCAACACAUGCAUAAUAAAAAAAAAUGGGUUACAUAUAAACCACAUAGGCAUAUAUGAAAAAGAAACAAAUUCCUUUUUUUCUUUUUUUUUCUUUUUUUUUUCCGAGUCAACGGUCAACGGUCGUCAACGGUCAACGGGUCGCCGGUCGUCGGACCGGUCGCGCCGGUUGGGCCGCCGGGUCGGUUCGCGCAGACCGCCCGCACGUGCCGCGCGCGUGCGCUGGCUGACGUCACGCAGACGUCAUCCGGCACGUGCCGCACGCGUGACGGGGUCCGCGAGUCGCCGGUCGGGUCGGGUCGAGUCGCCGGCCGGUCACCGGCCGGCCACUGUCGUCGUGCUGACGUCAUCAAUGACGUCACCCCAGCGGUUAUUUACCAUUGGAUGACGUCAUGCUGACGUCAGCACGCGUCGGUCCGUGGACCGGCGUGUGCCGGUUCGCCGGCCGCCGGCGCGCAUGUGCCAGUUCGUCGCCGGCGCGUGUGGCGCACGCGCUAGCCGAUGCCAGCACUUGGGGCGCAUCACGCCCACGCGCAGCGGCUUCUGGCCGCGCGUGUGGGCGCGUGCAGCGUCUCCCAGUGGCGCGCGACAUGUCACCGGAAUCGUCUCGACGUCCUCUUUCACCCAAUGCCUUCAUAUUUCGAUUUCGACUUACGAAAACUCGGAAAAAUGGCCGAACAGCGCUCGGGUGUCGGGAUUUGUCGCCCGAUCCUUACGGCCGAAUUGCUUUUGCGAAAAAAUCAAUCAAAACAACAGCAAUCAGGUCGGGAAAACGUGAACUAGGGCUCUGAUACCAAUGUAGGGAAUAACGGAUCCCCGAAAACCGGAUUCGACACUAAAUCGAACCCCUAAAUCAAAUGCGGAAGAUGAAACCCGGGAAAACACGUAUCACCGAUCGUAAAGCACACCACGGAUUCGAGCGUACCUUGUUAGCCACAAAUUAAACACCAAUGCUGAAGAAGAGGAAGAAAUUCUGAUUCGAUGAUGUCAAUCGAAGGGAAGACAGUGCCGUUUGCCUUACUGUCCUUUUUGGAGAGAGAGAGUGUGCGCGAGAGAGGGGAGAACGUACGUAACUUCUGUUUCCAACAGAUGCGUCCUCUCUCUCUCUCUCAUCCCUUUUAUACGUUCCCCCAUCCACGGGCCCUAUUCCCAUGGGCCGGGCCCUUUUGGGCCCAACUUGAGCGGAUGGGCCUUAAGCCCAUCUCAUAAAUCCAUCACAGGGCACCCUUAGCCCCUCAUUAAAUCCACCCAUAUUGUGAGACUAAACAAGGAGAAAACUCAGGAGGGCAUUGGGAAUAUAUACUGCUGGGAGAGUUGAUUACUUAAUCAGUGGAGGUUAGGGAAAUGAAGAAAAUAAGAAAAAUAGAAACCAACCAUUAGUAAUGAGGGCGAGGAUAUGGACAUGGAUGACCCA
rnacentral:lncRNA from 1 species